UGGGGCGUCAUUUCAUUCUCGUAACGGGAAUGAGUGCACCGUAAGACCAGACAAGUUGCUCCCUCGCCUCGCAGCGGCGGCAUCUGUCUUUUAAGUUAAGUCAUUUCCUAAGACGGCUCCAAGACCUUUGCAAGGAAGGGAAAGGAGGGAGAAUAAGGGAAGGUGGCAAGUAGCUGAUUGCACGCAGUGGAAGGGAAGGAGCCUAAAUCGACCCCCUUCUUUUUUUCUUUGAAAAAAGCAGUAAGGAGUAAGGAGAUUAAACUCUCGGAUGAGACUAAGCAGCUACCGAGAAUCCGAAGCCGGUUGCUAGCGGAAGUAGCGCGACAAAGAGCAAAGCGGAGCAUUCACAAAGAAAUGGUGUAAGCAGAAGGGAAGGCGCAACGGUUAGCGACUGCCCGAGGAGUGAUCCCUCUCUUAUUUUCCCUUUUUUAAGAUAAGAAAAGAGACAAUAAGCCCGUCAACAUUGAAGCUUCCGCUUUUGGCAGCUGUUAGGCAAGUGAUCUUACAUUUUGUUUUACAAAACAAGAGUAUAGAAGGUACUUUUGCAGACAAAUACUAUACAAACUAUACAAGACAUAUUAUUUCUAAUACAUCAAACCAAACAACGUACAGGAAAUAAUGCCAAUAUAACUCAUACCAACUUUAUUAAUGCAUGCAUUACUAAUACACCAUAUUGAACAUUAUUCUUAUUCACUCUACCAAACGAUCCCAUAAUUAAAUAGUCACUAUCCUUAACCGCCUUGAGCUGGAAGGCCCAAAACGCCUCCAACUAUCGUUGUUCUUCCUGUUCCUUUUGUCGCUGUUGAAGGAGUUGGUAGUAAGGUGCCUAUAUCGCGUAUCCGAUCUCCGUUGCAUUCUCCGCCAAUUGUUGUUCCUAUUGCUGCGGUUGAAGGUAGAAGUAGGGUACCUGUAUUGGGUACUCAACUGUCGCCGCUGCAUUCUCCGCCCAUUUUUGCGAUUUGUUCACCAUUAUGCUUUAGGUGAAGGACGAUAAUUUCUAAGGAGAAGAUGGCCGAAAAACGGGUCGGAAUGAAAAUAGGUGAUUGGAGAAAAUUUUGAUUUAAAUUAAAAUAAAAUAUAUUCAUGUAUAUGUUAUUUAAAAGUAUAGUUUUUCGGUACGUGCAUCGCACGUGUAUGCCAGUCAUGUAAUAUUUAAUUUUAAAAAUUGGAUUGACAAGAUUGGUAUAUUUCAUAUUUGUUUUAUCUUACAUUUUGUUUUACAAAACUAGAGUGUAGAAGAUAUUUUUAUAAAAAUAAUACUAUAAAAACUUUACAAGACAUAUAAUUUCUAAUACAACAAAACCAAACAACGAAUAGGAAAUAAUGCCAAUAUAACUAAUACCAGCUUUACUAAUGCAUGCAUUACUUAUACACCAUAUUCAACAUUAUUCUUAUAAACUCCACCAAACGACCCCCCUUAGUUAAAUAGUCACUAUCCUUACUCCUUGAGCUGGAAGGUCUAAAACGCCUCCAACUGUCGUCGUUCUUCCUGUACCCAUUCCUUCUGCUGCUGCAGAAGGAGUUGGAAGUAAGGUACCUACAUCGAGUAUCCAGUCGCCGCCGCUGCAUUUUCCACCGAUUGUUCCUGUUGCUGCUGUUGAAGAUGGUAGUAGGGUACCCACAUUGGGUAUCAAGCUGUUGCCGCUGCAUUCUCAUUCCAUUGUUGCGAUUUGUUCUCCAUUAUGCUUUCGACGAAAAAUGAUAAUUUCUAUGGAGAAGAUGGCCGAAAAGCAGGUCGGGAUGAAAAUAAGUGAUUUGGGCUAGAUACAUGUUGAGUUGUAUAGAAGAAUCAUAUUGGAGAUAAUUUUGAUUUUAAUAAGAAUAAAACAUAUUUAUGUAUAUAUUAUUUAGGAUUAUAGUUUUUUGGCACGUGCAUUGCACGUGUAUGCCAAGUCAUGUAAUAUAUAGUUCUGUAAAAUAAUUUUAACAAUUGGGUUUGCAAGUCAGAUUUUGUAUUAUUUUAUAUCUAUUUUAUCUUAACGAAGAGAGCAAAGUUAGUAUAAUUGAUUUGUCUUUUUCAUUUACCAUGUUUUGUUCACCAAGUCAUGUAAUAUUUAAUUUUAACAAUUGGGUUUACAAGUCAGAUUGGUAUUAUUUCGUAUCUGUUUUAUCUUACAUUUUUAUAUUCAGUAAUAAUUUUACUUAAAAUAUUUAUUUUAUCCUUAAUGAAUUUAUAGUCAUCCUUAAAAAAGUGAGUGAAAUUGCCAAAAAUAGAGGGUGUAUCCACUAUAUAUAAUGUUGUUGUUGCUGAAGGAGUUGGCAAUAGGGUACCUACAUCGGGUAUCCAGUCGGUGUCGCUGCAUUCUCUGCCAAAUGUUGUUCCUGUAUCUAAAGAUGGUAGUAAGGUAUCUGCAUUGGGUACCCAGCUGUCGCCGCCGCAUUCUCUGCAUUCUCCACCGAUUGUUGAGAUUUGUUCUCCAUUAUGCUUUGGAUGAAGGACAAUAAUUUUGAUGGAGAAGAUAGCAGUAAAACGGGUCGGGAUGAAAAUAGGUGAUUUGGGCUAGAUAACAUGUUGAAUUGUGUAGAAGAAUCAUAUUGGAGAAAAUUUUGAUUUUAAUAAGAAUAAAAUAUAUCCAUGCAUAUGUUAUUUAAGAGUACUAGCUUUUUGGCACGUGCAUUGCACGUGUAUGCCAGUCAUGUUAUAUUUAAUUUUAACAAUUGGCUUUACAAGUCAGAUUGAUAUUAUUUCGUAUCUGUUUUAUCUUACAUUUUUAUAUUCAGUAAUAAUUUUAUUUUAAAAUAUCUAUUUUAUCCUUAAUGAAUUUAUAGUCAUCCUUAAAAAAGUGAGUGAAGUUGCAAAAAUGGAGGUUGUAUCCACUAUAUAUAAUGUUGAUAAUCUUGGAAAUGCCGCUCUACUUGUUAAACCCUGUGCUCCUGUUUCCUUCAUCAUGUCUCAUUUUUUUUGAAUCUUCUGAAUGUGAAAAUGUGGAAGUUGCUUAUGAUUCUCCUCGUUCAUAUCAAUGCUACGGUACUGAUAAACGCCAUAAAACGGAUAACAAACCAGAUCGUCUCAGCGCCUUACCAGACCCUCUCAUCCUUCACAUCCUCUCAUCUUGCCAGAUGAAAGAUGUUAUACAAACUGGAGUUUUGUCUAAAAGGUGGCGCCUUUUGUGGACUUCAGCACACAACUUAUCUUUCACCCACUCUCCUGAAUCAAAUCGCGAAGUAACUGAAUUUAUAAAAUCCAUUGAUGAUACAUUGAUUCUCUCCUAAGCCUAGUAAAUAGAAUGAAUUUUCGGUUGAGUCUCUUUAGCAACCGAUUUGUUGACCAUGUUAACAGAUGGAUGAUUUUUGUGAUGAUUAAGUCUGUUGAGGUAGUGGAUUUGAAUCUGAUGAGGACACGAGGUUUCGAAGAGGGUUAUAGCUUACCACAACUUAUGUAUUCCAACGUGUGUUUACGUAAACUGAAGUUGUACAAUUGUAAUCUUGUACCAAAGGAGGGGAUUAAUUGGCCUGCUCUUAGGGUUUUAGCUCUUUGGUUUGUUAAAUUGAGCUUAGAAGUCGUUGAUGCGAUCUGUUCUGGAUGUCCUGGUUUGGAAUCUCUCAAGUUUUGUAUGUGUUUCGGCGUUUCCUGGUUUUUAUAUUAAUUCUGAAAGUGUGAAGAAGUUGGUUAUCGGGGGAUACUUGCAACAAGAACAUGAAGAUAGCGACGACGAUGACGAUGAUGAUAAAGAGCUGACAAUAAUGUUACUUCGCUGGAGAUUAGUGGAUGUCUUCACAACAAAAAUCCAGUUCUCCAGAAUGUGCAAGCUCUAGUCGAUGCUAAGCUAUAUUUUGGGUAGGGAAGACGAUGAAAGUGACUUUAGGACAGAAUAGUCUCUGAAGACAAAAAUACAGCUAAGAAGAUAAAAACAUCGAUCUGAAACGCAUUAUCAUUAGCAUUCAGAAAGUUUGAAGGUUUUAAUGAAAGUUUUUAGGUGGAAAAGAUGGCUGAAAAGCGGGUCACGAUGAAAAUAGGUGAGUUGGGCUGGAUAUACAUGUUGGGUUGUGGAGAAGAAUUAUAUUGGAGUAAAUAAUUAGAAUAAAAUAUAUUCAUGUACACGUUAUUUAAGAUUAUAGUUUUUUGGCACAUGCAUUGCACGUGUAUGCCAAGUCAUGUAAUAUAUAGUUCUAUAAAAUAAUUUUAACAAUUGGGUUUGCAAGUCAGAUUUUGUAUUAUUUUGUAUCUAUUUUAUCUUAACGAAGAGAGCAAAGUUAGUAUAAUUGAUUUGUCUUUUUCAUUUACCACGUUUUGUUCACCAAGUUAUUUUGCAACCAAACAAUAGAAAAAUCUUUGAUUAAAACUUAUAUGCAUCAAACUAUUCUAGUGUUUGUACACAUUCAAUUAGUACAAUAGAGUACUCGUUAAAUUUACCCAUAACAUCCAAAACAACUCAAAUCACACCAAGGAAAAGACCCCACAGAAAAGAUCAAUUUUAAAUUCAAUACUAACAAUGGUACAUUAUUUUUAAAAAAAAAAAAAAAAAAGAGAGAUAUGAAGCACCAUGUCAAUAUAUAUUCCAACCAAUGGUACAUUUUUUUAUUUUUUAUUCCAACCAAUGCUCUAGUACAUUGCUUGAAUUUUCAGAAUGCAUCUGUAACACCUCAAUAUAUAUUGAACAACUGAACUUACUGAAAGGUUCCAUUAUAGCAAGAAGUUUGCACCAAAUAAAUAAGAAAAGAGCAACUGCAUUCGAAAGCCAGGACGCUUCUACCCAUGCAUUCAUAACAACUCAGACCACACUUGGAUAAAAAAAAACCAUAGGAGAGAGUACCUGGGUGAGAAGCCCAGCAGGAGACAAUAACCGUAAAAUUAAUAGUAGAAUUGGUAGAUAAAGCAGUAUGUCCAAACCAAUGCCCCAAGACAUUGCUUAAUUUCCAGAAAACAUGACUUUCCCAAAUCAGAGAACAUAUUAACUAAAUGUACCUGACAGACCCCAAAAACGAAAUUCAAAUGCGAUCAAACCGCGCCAAAUUUCAUAACUUGACCAAUCAUAUCUGUAACUAUCAAGCAGAACAGAAAUAAUCACAAAUCUCCUCCAUGACAAACCACAAAAAGAACUCUAGAUGUGAUCAAGCAGGCUAAAUUCCAUACUUUCACUAACCAUAUCUACAAUUAUUAAGCAGAAGAGAAAUAAUCACACGACUAAACCUCUCACCAGAGAAAACAUUAAUAACUUAUUCAACACCUGCACUCAUGCUAGAGUACCCGAACAAUUCCUCUAAACCAAUUGAUCCAAUUGCAAAUGGGUAACCUAUAUCCCACCAUGAUGAGGAAAAAUUACAUCACAACCCACAAGAAGGAAGACAUAAUAAACAAGACAUGGAAGGAAAAGAAAAAUGUUAAGCUCAGAACCACAGCCAGGUCAAUGAAAGACAACAGGAAUUGUCCCUGUAAGUACUCCCCACUGCCAUCUUUAAAUGAUAUCCGACGCUAGACCACGAGACGAAACUUUUAAAUUGUUCCUUUUAAAAAUCAACAAUUGUAAGUGGAUCAAUUGAUCAAAUUCUGUAUACCUACUGUGAAAUUUUCGCUUAUUAUAAGUGGCAGUCCAGAAUGUUUCUUUCAAUUACAUAGUGGUUGAGGCAAGGUGAUCCCACGUCACCUUUCCUAUUUAUCUUAGCAAUGGAGGUCCAUGAUCAGAAAAGCAAGUGAGAAUAGAUGGAUAAAUGGUUUUCCUGCAAAUGUCAGUAGUGGAAAUAAUAUGCAGAUGAUUCCUCGGUAUUUUGUGAAGCUGAAAUAAGUCAAUAAUUCAGAUCGGACACUCAUCUAUUUUUUAGGGAAUUUCAAGACUCCAUGUCAAUUGGCAUAACAGUAGUUUAUACCCAGUCAACCAAAUUACCAAUAUGGAGAUAGUUGAUGUCAAUUUAGGGUGCCAAGUAGCAUCCCUUCCAACUAAACAUCUUGUUAUGCCUCUUGGUGCUAAGAAUAAAGAAGUGGAAGUAUGGAAUGAAGUGAUGGAAAGAAGUGAGAGAAAGCUGACAAGAUGGAAAAGCCAAUAGCUGUCUUUAGGAGGCAGAUUAACACUCAUUAAAUCAGUAAUGGAUGAUCUCCCCACUUACAUGAUGAGUCUUUUCCCAAUUCCAAGAAGCAUAGAGAAGAAAAUCAACAACUUAGGAGAGUCUUCUUAUGGUAGGGAGAUAAAGAGAAGCUUGGGUACAAAUUAGUAAAAUGGGAUGAGGUGACUCUCAACAAAGCCCAGGAUGGUAUUGGGGUAAAGACGCUGAGCAUGCAGAAUGUGAGUUUGUUGAAGAAGUAGCUUUAGAGGUUCUAUAAUGACGACUUGUUUUUAUGGAGAGGAUUCAUCUCCCAGAAGUAUGUCUCCAAAAUAAUUGGUGCACUGAUAAAGAAGCUGGAACUUUUGGGUGCUCUGUUUGAAAGACUAUCAGAAGACUAAGGCCUCCUUUUAAUUCCAAUUUGUCAUUCAAGAUUGAGAUGGGGUAAAAACUAGUUUCUGGAAUGUAAACUGGAUAGGAGACAGGAACCUGAAAACUUUAUUCCCAGAUCUAUACAUUCUAGCUUGCAAUAGAUGCUGGCAAAGAUGUGGAGCCCUCAAGGUUGAAGCCUGAAUUUUAGGAGGGCUCUAAAUGACUGGGAGAUUAGUAGAGUUGCAGGGCUCUUGCAGGUGUUGAAUAUAUUCCCAGGUGUCUCAGAGGAACCAGAUUGUCCAAUAUGUAAGUUGCACAACUAAGGAAUUUCGACUGUGAAAUCGUGUUACUGGAAUAUGAACUAUAACCAAAUAAUGGGAAUGGAGUGGCCAUGGAAACUAAUCUGAAAGAUCAAAGGCCCUCAUAAGGUGUCAUGCUUCACAUGGUUGGUGAUCAGAAAAGCAUGUUUAACCCAUGAAGUGUUACACAGGAGAGGUACAUAAAUUUGCUCAAGGUGUAGUAUGUGUGAAAAAGAGGCAGAGAUUAACAACCACUUAUUCCUACAUUGCAAAACAGUUAUAAAUCGAUGGGAUAUGUUCUUAUAUGUAUUCUUGGGUUUAACUGGGUAGUGCCCAAAACUACUUCAGACAUGCUCAAACAAUGGGAAGGACGAGGUAGAAGAAGAAAAUCAAAAGAGGACCGGUGGAAAUGUAUUCCAGCAUGCAUUGAGUGGUCACUUUGAAUGGAAAGGAAUGAAAGAUCCCAUGAUGAGCAAGCUAGAAGCAUUCAGAAGAUCAAGAUGUAAAGUCUGAGUUUGUUGUAUUUUUGGUAUAAACAAAAUAUGGUGGGGGAAGUAGAAAGUCUAGUUAACUUCAUAGGCAAAUUGUAAAGUUCUUUUUUUGGGGAUUGAUUCUGCAUGAUACCCCCUGGGGUUGAAAAUCCCAUCUCAUCAGUCUUUUACCUAAUGAAUUUUUUGAUAGGAAUACAAAAGUUACCCGUUAUAACGCCCCCGCAAACUGGUGGUGUCAACAACACCCAACUUGGGAAAAUAGUGAUGAUUGGGCGUCGCAGCAGAGUUAGAGGCAACAAGGAAAGGUUGUGUGGCCAUGAGAGGUGGGGCAAGUGAUGCGGAAGAGGGUUGUACCAUAGGGUUCUAGCACAAAGGUCCAGUGGGCUUAUUUCGGUGCUAGUAAGUGAUUAUUGUGGAUUGUGGUUAAGCGUUUAAAAGGGGAGAUGGAUGAACUGAUGAGGCUGAACCAUUCGGUUGAAGUGAACUGUGGCAGGAAACUAAAUUUUGGAUGGUGAAGGGAAGGGGCAGGGAUGAUGUUGGAGAAAGAGAAGAAGUAUCAGACGAGGAAGAAACUGAAUUACCUAACCCAGUAGUACCUGUUGAGGCAGAGGAGACGAGUGAAUGCAGGCGUGUCCACAGGCUGCUGCACAAUCUGAGUAGGAAACUCAUAAGAAUCAUUUGAACUUUGAGUAUUAACCCGUGGUUGUUCAGUUGAAAAAAUUUCCCAAGAUACAUUUUUAUUUUGUGUAUUUUUCAACAACAUACCAGUAAGUCCCACCUAGUGGGGUCUGAGAGGUAGAAUGUACGCAGUCAAUACCACUACCUCCGAAGAAGUAGAGAGGUUGUUUCCGAUAGACCCGGCUAAAGACACAGAGACGGUAUAUAAGGUCGUAAUAAACCAUGAAACAAGAUGAAAUAACAGAAAAAGGCACCCACAAAGUAAUAUGAUACACUAACACCCCGCAAGUACCCACCUCCCCCAACCCACCUAACUAGAGACUCCCUCUUAUGUGCAAAGGCUUACAACUACUAGCUGGCUACCCCAAACCGAACCUAACUACUGGCUACAACUCACCCACACACACUAACCUACUAACCUGAUUCGAGUUCUCCAUACUUUCCUAUCUAGAGCCAUGUCCUCAGUAAGCUGUAACUGCUUCAUGUCCUGUCUAAUCACCUCUCUCCGAUAUUUCUUCAGCUUACCUCUACCAAUCCAAAGUUAACCUCUCGCACCUCCGAACCGAGGCAUCCGUUCCCCUCCUCAUCACAUGCCCAAACCAUCUCAACCCCACUUCCCGCAUCUUGUUCUCUACCGAGGCCACUCCCACCUUCGCCCGAUUAAUCCCAUUCUUAACCCUGUCUUCCCUAAUAAGCUCACACAUCCAAAGCAAUAUUCUCAUUUCCGCCACUUUCAACUUUUGAAUGUGAGAGUUCUUAACUGGCCAACACUCUGCUCCAUACAACAUGACCGGACGGACUGCCACUCUAUAAAUUUGCUUUUAAGCUUGGGAGGCACUUUCUUAUCACACAAAACUCCUGAGGCUAGCCUCUAUUUCAUCCUCCCUACCCCAAUACGAUGCGUGACAUUCUCAUCAAUCUUUUCAUUUCCCUGAAUCAUAGACCCAAGAUACUUAAAACUAUACUUCAUACAAACAACCUACGAAUCCAACUUCACUACCACCUCGUCCUCCCUUGUCACGUCGCUGAACUUACAUUCCAAGUACUCCGUCUUGGUCCUGCGCAAUCUGACCCUUUUGACUCCAAGGUUUGUCUCCAAACCUCCAAUUUAUCAUUAACACCUCCUCGUCUCACUAAUCAAAACUAUACCAUCCGCAAAUAGCGUACACCACGGCACCUACGCCACCGGCACCCUCUAGCAUCUAAGCAUCUCCAAAGUACCUCCCUAGGGACUUUGUCGUAUGCCUUCUCCAGGUCGAUGAACACCAUAUAUAAGUCCCUCUUUCCUCCCCAUACAUCUCCACUUGUCUCCACACAAGGUGAAUUGCCUCAAUCGUCGAGCGACCGGGCAUAAAUUUGUACUGAUACUCCGAAAAAGACAUGCUCCUCCUCAACCUCCGCUCAACCACUCUCUCCCAAAUCUUCGUAGUGUGACUCAACAACUCAAUGCCCAUGUAGUUGUUGCAACUCUGAAUGUCACCCUUGUUCUUGUAUAAAGGGAUCAUCGUACUCCAUCUCCAAGCCUCGAACAUCUUCACAGUCCUGAAAAUGCCAUUAAACAAUUAGGUCAACCACCUCAAACCUGCCCCGUCUGAAUAUAUCCAAAAAUCCACCAAGAUCUCAUCAGGCCCCACGCCCUACCCUUACGCAUCCUCCGAGUAGCCUCAAAGACCUCAUCCACCCUUAUACAUCUAUAAUAACCAAAAUCAUGACACCCCUCAGAGUUUUCAAACUCCUCUAACACAAUGUCUUUGUCCCCAUCAUCAUUAAAGAGCCUAUGGAAAUACAAUUGCCAUUUUCUCUUAAUGUGAACGUCCUCCACCAGUACUUCGCCAUCUUCCCCAUAAUGCACUUCACUUGGUCAAGGACACGAGCCUUCCGCUCCCUAGCCUUAGCAAACCUAUACAACCUUUUCUUCCCGUCUCUCUCCUCUAAACCCGCAUACAAGUUCUCAAAAGUUGUUGUCUUAGCUGUCGUAACCGCUAACUUAGCUUCCUUCCUAGCUAACCUGUAUUCCUCCCUGUUCGUCCGUUUCUCCUCUUCAUCCUUACUCUCAGUCAACUUAGCAUACGUCACCUUCUUAGCCUCCACCUUCUUUUUAACCUUUUCGUUCCACCACCAGUCCCCUCGAUGAUGGCCAGGUCGUCCCCUCAAGACACCCAACGUCUCUCUAGCUAUCUCCUUAGUAAAACUGGCAGCCCUAUCCCACAUACUAUCAAUGUCUCCCCUACACUCCCGCACCCCCAUCGCUGCCAACCUCUCCCCCAUCUCCAAAGUACUAGCUGGAGUCAAGCCACCCACCUAAUUCUUGGUCGACCAUCUCCACCUCUCCUCUUCUUGCCCUUCUUGAUAUCCACGUCCAUCACCAGAAACCUAUGCUAGGUCGCAAGAUUCUCACCAGGAAUGACCUUACAAUCCUUACACAAUGCUCUAUCCCCCUUCUUAAGCAGCAAAAAGUCAAUCUGAGUCUUGGUUGUGGUCCUCCUUCUUCGAGAAAUUCAACUUCACUACCACCAAUCCAAAGGUCCUCGCAAAAUCCAAAAGAGCAACCCCUUCUUCAUUCCUAUCCCCGAAACCAAAGCCUCCAUGCACAUCGUCAUAACCUCUCGGCAAUGACACGAUGUGCCCAUUGAAAUCCCCUGCUACGAAAAUCUUCUCAGAGCUAGGAAUGCCACUCACCACCUCGUCCAAAACCUCCCAAAAUCUCUUCUUCUCCUCGUCCAAGCCUACCUAAGGCGCAUAAGCCCUACAAACGUUCAGAGUAAACCCUUCAAUGACCAACUUAAUAGUCAGAAACCUAUCACUAACCCUCUAAACCUCCACUACCUGCCCCCUAAGCUCUUCGUGUACUAAGAUACCUACUCCAUUCCGACGUCUCUCACUACCUGAGUACUACAACUUGUACCCGUCCACAUCCCUAGCCUUAGAGCCUACCCACUUGGUCUCUUGGACACACGCGAUAUUAAUUCUCCUCUUCUUAAGAAUCUUUGCGAACUCUAUGGACUUACCCUAAAGGAUCCAUAUAUUCCAGGACCCAAACCCCAACCUAUCAACUCUCGUAUCAUGCUUACCCCGCACCCCAUACCCCACAACUAACCCAACACCAGACCCCGACCCUAACCCCAGCCUCCCAGGACAUGACCCUCGCCUACCAUCCACCACGAAAGCCACCACUCCAACAAAAGCAAAAAAUAACUCAAAAAACAGGCCAAAUACCAAGAACAACAAACAAGAGACACCAAUACAAGGAAGUAGAUAGACCACAACAAAUUAAAAGUCAAGAUAAAAGCGGAAAAAACAUUUUCGAAUGGGAACUGAUUUCCCAAAAAUAAGACGUCGCGAGAUAAAUAUAUUUGGGAGUUCAAGGAUCAAAACAUUGAUGGCAGUACUGUUUAUUCAAAAAUUCUAAAUAAACACAUAGUAUAGAAUGGGGCUCUACUUCUUUUUUUGGCAUAUAACUUGAGCCAUAACACAAACAACCAAAUACUUUAAUGGAGUCAUACUUAGGGAUAGUUUGAAACAAAAUUUGAAAGGGGCUCUUAUGCUGAAGAUUAGGUGUAGUUAGCCUGUUUGUAAGAGAAACAACUUGUUGACAGGCAAAACUCCAAAAAUGUAAGGGUAAAGGCGCUUGGUGCAGCAAGGUUUUAGCAGUUUCAAUAACAUGCAGGUGUCGUCUUUUGACUAGAGCAACUCGAUGUGGAAUACAAGGGGGUGACACUAAGUGUUCUGUGUCAUGUGUUUUAAGAUAGGACAGUAAACUUUGAAAUUCGCCACCACCAUCAGUGUAAAAGAAUUGAAUUUUCGUGUUGAACCUUCGUUCAAGCAAUGGAUGCAAAGCUUGAUAAACUUCCAGUAUUUCAUUUUUUUUAUUUUAAAGUGAACAACCACAUGUAUUUUGAGAAUUGAGCAACAAAUAAAACAUAAUAUCUUUUUUUUUAUCAAUUGACAAAAUCAAAGAUUAACCCAUAAAUCGUUAUAAAGGAUUUACACGGGCUUAUUACUUUGCAAUGAAUUUUCUGAGAAAGUCAACCUUGUGUUUUAUUUGAAUAACAAGAACUACAAAUGGAACAAGCUUUAGGAUCUACAAUAGGAAGGGAAAAAUUACUCAAGAUAGUAUUUAAAACAUUGCAUUGAAGAGAACGAUGUGCACAACCCGGUGGCCACUCAUAUAACUCACCAUAUAACUCAUCUUUAUCCUGCCCACGAACUAGAGACGCCCCCAUACUCAGAUCUUUCAAAAUAUAAUGGGAAGAGAAAAGGUCAAUUCAGGAAAUGAUUAUCAAUGCAAUACUUAGAAACAAAAAUAAUUUUUUAUGAUAGGGGAACAUAAGGUAUUGAGAAGUUUGAAAUGAUAAUUUGAUGCAUUUAUGUUAGCGUUACUGGUAUGAGAUAUUGGAAUGGUGUUACCAUUGCCCAUAGUUAUCCCUUCAGUGCCGUGAUAGUCAUGUAUAGUGGCUAGACUUUGAGCAUCAGAUGUAGUAUGAUGAGUGGCUCCACCAUCCAUGAUCGAAGGGGUUUAUUGAGGAGAAAAACAAGCAGCAAAGUUUGCCUGGACUUGCAGAAGGUCAUGUGACUACGAUCUGCAAACGGUAGACGAAUGACUAAUGUGAUCUAGGGGUGUGCAAAAACCGAACCGAUCGAUAAACCAAACCGAUAAAAAUAUUAUUGGGCUAUAAAAAAAUUAUUGGAUUAUUGUUCGGUUCGAUUUUUUCUUAUUGGGCUAUUGGGUAAAUCGAUAACCAAUAAGACUAUACAUACAUACAUACACGCACACACACAUAUAUAUGACUUAUUAUAUAUUUCUCUUAAUUUCUCUUUAAUUUCUACAAAUCAACAAACUUAUUAUUUCAAUUAUACAAACUCUUAAUUUCUCCUAACAACACUUAGUUCAAACUUGAAGAUUCUUGUAAAUUAAAACACAUCAUGUAGGAUUUUUAAUUGCAACUAAUAAUCGAUUUUUUUCAAUGUUAGUUACGACUAUUUCUAUUUUAUCAGUAUUUUCUUAUUGGUUAAAUCGAAAAUCGAACCGUUAAAGACUGAAAAACCGAUAAAAAAUAUCUUAUUGGUUUAGCAUAUUUAAAAAUCAAAAAUCGAUAAACCGAACCGAUAAUAUGUAGAAUCGAACCGACCGAUACACACCCUUAAUGUGAUCACAAAGUUGGCAGCGAAGGUGUUUGUCAGAGGGCUGCUGGUGGUUGUUUCUACGUGGGUGUUAAGCUCACCAUUGUUGAUUGUUGGCAGGAGUGUUCUCACCUGGACGAUUGCUAGAGUAAGAAGGAGUUGAGCUUGUCUUUUGUGCUAAAGCAGCCGUAAUAGGAGUUGAUAGAGGCUUCUUGGCUUCCUUAUGUUGUAAGAAAAGCUCAUAAUCUAGAAGCUUUUCGUAAAGCUCUUCACAGGAUAUAGGAGAAUCCCGUGCACGAAUGGCAGCAGAGAGUUCUCGAAAUUCAGAUCCAAGUGCAUGAGAAUUUUAACAGUGAGUUCUGGUUUUGAUACCAGUGCACCAAUAGUUGCAAGUUCAUCACAAAGUGAACGAACUUGAUGAAGGUAAUACGUGACUUGACGAGAGUCUUUAGUAAGGCGUGCCAAUCAGUCUAACAGGCUAAAAUUCCUGUUUCAGAUUUGUUUACAUAUGCAAUAUGCAAAGCAUCCCAGGCAAGUUUGGCGGGGACUGCAAUAGCAAAAUUGGCGUAAGUGUAGGAUAAUCGGAAGCUAAGAUAGCAUUUUGAAUUAACUGAUCUUGGUUAUACCAAGGAAGAAACUCAGGAUUAUCAGCAUCUUGAUUGUUUUGAGAGAUGGUGCGAAUAGGAGCAGGGAUGGAGCCAUCGAGAUGCCCAUAAAGAUUGUGACCAUGAAUAAGCAUUGAAACUUGAGCUUUCCACAGCGAGAAAUUGUGACUGCCGGUUAAUUUUAUGGGCAGUUGGGUAACAGGAUUAAACUGCACAACAGUAUCGGCGUUAUCGACUCCAUCGGCAUUGGCCACAGAAGUAUUAGGGGCCAUUUGGACGAGUAAGAAGGAAAAAAAAAGGAUCAACUCAUGGGAGUACUUAGAAGUGCUCCGAUACCAUAAAGAGGCAAAAUCAGAAGAUGGGAAAAUAGUUAUCGUCUUUAUUGAUUGUAUGGCAGGUAUAUAAAGAAUUUGCACAAGAUCUAUAUCAGCCAUGAUAGACUUGGAAAAGGAUAAUGACUAUCCAAUAGAGCCUAAAUAAGAGGAGAAGGUCCAAACAAAUUCCUCAGAAUUAGGACUACAAAAAUAGAACUCUACAGCAGUAAGGUGUCUUGCAUCAACCGUACCGAGUAGGCGCGACAACUUUGUACCUGGAAUCAAAGAAUAUAAGCAUCUUGACAAAAUAACAGCAGCUCAUACUCUUGUGGCAUCAAAAGCAAAAAAGUAAACCAUCUUAACAUAUAAGUUCCAGCGACUGCAAGCAGAGAAAGCAAGGCUUAGUAAUGACUGCAAGAGGAAUUCUAUCUAACCACAAGAAAAUUGAUCAGAUUCAGACAUGAAAAGCAAGACAGAGAGGAGGAGGAGAAGGAGGGGGGGGGAAGAGAUAACUAUUCUAUUCUAGAAGCAGACAGAAGAAAGCACCAAAAUACAUCUUGCAAGAAGUAUGAUUCAAUACCUGAAAUUGUUUAUUUUGCAUUUUGCUUAGAUAGUUGACCGAAUAGAAUGUUCAAAGCUGUCUCACUGGAGCGUGCAGCUUGCGUAGCUGUGGUGGCAUAGGGCUGCAUGAUACAGUGGCACGAAAAGCAAUUCUCACCGAGUAAUGGCAUAGGGCUGCAUACUACAGUGGCAGAAAUGCAUCUUCAUUUCUGAACUUUUUCUCCAAUUAUGUGCCGAAAUCUAUAAGGAACUGGUCAAACAAUCAUGGGAAACCGACAAACUGAAUUACCAAACUUUUGAAGACCUAAAUUACAGUGGCACCAAAAGCAAUUCUCACCGUCAUUCAAGUUUCUCUAAGCACAUAAAUAGUAACUGAAUAUGCCAUGAAACCACGGAUGCAUCUCUUCAUGCUCAUUUCAUGCAUGAAGUACCAUUUGUACAAAUAAGUUAAUUUUACAUAUUACUCGUGUGAUCUAUUUUUCAGAUCUAAAAAGAUCCUCAAGCCAAACUUUUUAGGGUGGGCUAUAUGAAUUCUCUGUAUUAAUUAUUUUCUACGAAACCAAAGUAAAAUUCGACAGCACGCAGACAGAAGAGAUAACUAUUCUAUUCUAGAAGCAAACAGAAGGGAGCACCAAAAUACAUCUUGCAAGAAGUAUGAUUCAAUACCUGAAAUUGUUUAUUUUGCAUUUUGCUUAGAUAGUGGACCGAAUAGAAUGUUCAAAGCUGUCUCACUGGAGUGUGCAGCUUGCGUAGCUGUAGUGGCAUAGGGCUGCAUGAUACAGUGGCAUGAAAAGCAAUUCUCACCGAGUAAUGGCAUAGGGCUGCAUACUACAGUGGCAGAAAUGCAUCUUCAUUUCUGAACUUUUUCUCCAAUUAUGUGACGAAAUCUAUAGAGAACUGGUCAAACAAUCAUGGGAAACCGACAAACUGCAUUACCAAACUUUUGAAGACCUAAAUUACAGUGGCACCAAAAGCAAUUCUCACCGUCAUUCAAGUUUCUCUAAGCACAUAAAUAGUAACUGAAUAUGCCAUGAAACCACAGAUGCAUCUCUUCAUGCUCAUUUCAUGCAUGAAGUACCAUUUGUACAAAUAAGUUAAUUUUACAUAUUACUCAUGUAAUCUAUUUUUCAGAUCUAAAAAGAUCCUCAAGCCAAACUUUUUAGGGUGGGCUAUGUGAAUUCUCUAUAUUAAUUAUUUUCUACGAAACUAAAGUAAAAUUUGACAGCUUCAAGAGACAUCUUAAAUCUUCAUUCUUAAACCAUUCUAAUCCAAUAAGUAAAAGGUGCCAAUUAUAAUUCUGAAAAUUUACUUCCUUUUAUAGAAGUUACAAAUUUGAGAUAGACACUUCAAACGGAACUUUUUUCUUCUUUGAAAAAACAUUCACCACAAAAUCUAGAACAGAACCUUACAAUCAAAGCUUCAAAAAACGAAAAUAUCAAUCAAUAAAUAGAGUUUAAAGAUGUAUUAUGAAAAGUAACUAUAUAAAGAUUUUAAAGCCUUGAUUCAACAUAGCAGAAGUGAAUUAAGCAAGAUAAUGAAAUAACUCUAACUAAAAAGUGAUCUAGCAACACAAAUUAAAAAUAAAAAGGAAAGGGUUAUAUAUAUAUAACAUGUACAUAUAAACCAAUGCAGAAAUCAUCUUCUUCAAUAGAACAAAUGCAGAAAACAGUUUCAGCAAUCCGAAUGAAGCCAUGCAUGAAAACAAAGCAGAAGCAUUUGAUUAAAAAUAGUUUACCUGCAAAAGGAAGCAAUGGUGAACAGCAUAGAGAGAGUUGCUGCUGAAUUUCCACCCAAAACAAUUUCCACUUCUAGCUAUAUAGAGUAUUGAUCAAUUCAGAAUUUCGACAACCCUAGAGGAAUCUGCAAUUUUGGCAGGUAAAACAGUUCAUUAAAAAAAGAGAAAAAAUAGGAGAAAAGGCUUUCUUUUCCUGAAUGAAAAGUAAUCUUUUCAGGUUUGGCCCGGCCCUAUUUAUUUUGACCUUUUAUAGCUGCGGGGAGAGGGGAAGUAUGGGUUAAACCUUUACCAUGAUUAAUUUUAAACCAUAAUUCAACUUUCCAACUUUUUAUUAUUUGGAGAAGAUAAAUUUUAAAAAAGAUAUUUUGGAGUUUAUAAAUUAAUUGUUUGUUCCUUGCUAAUUGAAUUCCUGACUAUAUUAUAAUUCCUCAAAUAGAUAGGAAUUCACAUUUUGACUUCAUCGUAAUAUCUAAGAUCUAUUUCAAAUUUAGUUAACUUUGCCUUUCUUACUACUCCCUACGUCUUCUUUUCGUAUCAGAUUCUGGAGAUUCUCUUUCAUUGCUUCAUCAUCAUUAGUACUGAGAUUAAUGAGUUGAUAGAGAUGAAGAUGAAGAAAUAGUGUACUGUCCUCCUUUUGAGCUUUCGGAAUGUUGUUAGCUUUCCUUUUUUGUUUUCUUUUUGCUUUUUGUUAUUUUUACCUGUUUCCAGGUUGGGUUUGGGGCCUUGACCUGGUUUUGGGUUCAGUUUGUACGUCUUUCUUUUUGGUUAAUAAAAAGGCCCAUGGGGCCCUAUGCCUUUAAUUUAAAAAAAAAAAAAAUACUCCCUACGUUUCAAUUUGAUUGCCUUACUUUCCUUUUUAUUCCGUUUAAAAAGAAUAUCUUUCCUUUUUUGGAAAUCUUUAGCUUGAACAAUUUAAGACCACAAGAUUCGUUUGAACAAUUUAAAACCACAAGAUUCGAAAGUGUUUUACUUUCCUAAACUCCGUGUCUAGUCAAAAUUAGACUAACAAAAUAAAGCAGAGGGAGUAAGAGAAAGCAAGUAAAUAAGGCAAAAAAAUUUAUUUAUGAAGUGUUUCCUUUUUACACCUUUUUCAAGAAUGAAGUUCUUGGUUUUCAUUUACCUUAACUUUUUCAGCCACAAACUGACAAUAUAGUUGGCACUAAGUUCAUGAUUAAGAAUCUGGUUUAAAGUUUUAAUGACUGAGAUAUAUCAGUUGUAAACUAUCUCUUACAACUUAAUUGUCUUUAUCUGAACCUUUCCAGUUGUGUGACCGAAAAAAUAGUCUUUGGGGAAACCUCCUAUAUCUUCACAUUCCUUGCUAUUUUUCUUCGGUCUUUUAAAUCAACAUCCUGAGAAAAGAGUUUUGAAUUUCUGACUACAAUUAAACUUCCUUGAAUAGAUAGGAAUUCAUAUUGACUUCAUAAUAUCUAAAAUCUAUUUCAGAUUUAGUUAACUUUGACUUUAGGACUAAAAGAACACAAGUAAAUAAGGAAAAAAAUUUAGCGUUGAAGAUUUUGAUUCAUGGUCUUUCGGUGAAGGUGCAAAUACUAAUUAUACUUCCUUGAAUAGAUAGCAAUUCAUAUGUGACUUGCAGCAUAAUAUCUAAAAUUUAUUUCAGAUUUAGAUAACUUUGAUUUUCUUACUAAACGAACGCAAGUAUGGAAAAAAAUUUAGUGUUGAAGAUUUUGAUUCUUUAUUUUUCGGUGAGGAUGCAAAUAUUAAUAUUCAGAUCACCAUCUACUANNNNNNNNNNNNNNNNNNNNNNNNNNNNNNNNNNNNNNNNNNNNNNNNNNNNNNNNNNNNNNNNNNNNNNNNNNNNNNNNNNNNNNNNNNNNNNNNNNNNNNNNNNNNNNNNNNNNNNNNNNNNNNNNNNNNNNNNNNNNNNNNNNNNNNNNNNNNNNNNNNNNNNNNNNNNNNNNNNNNNNNNNNNNNNNNNNNNNNNNNNNNNNNNNNNNNNNNNNNNNNNNNNNNNNNNNNNNNNNNNNNNNNNNNNNNNNNNNNNNNNNNNNNNNNNNNNNNNNNNNNNNNNNNNNNNNNNNNNNNNNNNNNNNNNNNNNNNNNNNNNNNNNNNNNNNNNNNNNNNNNNNNNNNNNNNNNNNNNNNNNNNNNNNNNNNNNNNNNNNNNNNNNNNNNNNNNNNNNNNNNNNNNNNNNNNNNNNNNNNNNNNNNNNNNNNNNNNNNNNNNNNNNNNNNNNNNNNNNNNNNNNNNNNNNNNNNNNNNNNNNNNNNNNNNNNNNNNNNNNNNNNNNNNNNNNNNNNNNNNNNNNNNNNNNNNNNNNNNNNNNNNNNNNNNNNNNNNNNNNNNNNNNNNNNNNNNNNNNNNNNNNNNNNNNNNNNNNNNNNNNNNNNNNNNNNNNNNNNNNNNNNNNNNNNNNNNNNNNNNNNNNNNNNNNNNNNNNNNNNNNNNNNNNNNNNNNNNNNNNNNNNNNNNNNNNNNNNNNNNNNNNNNNNNNNNNNNNNNNNNNNNNNNNNNNNNNNNNNNNNNNNNNNNNNNNNNNNNNNNNNNNNNNNNNNNNNNNNNNNNNNNNNNNNNNNNNNNNNNNGAACUGGUCAAACAAUCAUGGGAAACCGACAAACUGCAUUACCAAACUUUUGAAGACCUAAAUUACAGUGGCACCAAAAGCAAUUCUCACCGUCAUUCAAGUUUCUCUAAGCACAUAAAUAGUAACUGAAUAUGCCAUGAAACCACAGAUGCAUCUCUUCAUGCUCAUUUCAUGCAUGAAGUACAAUUUGUACAAAUAAGUUAAUUUUACAUAUUACUCGUGUGAUCUAUUUUUCAGAUCUAAAAAGAUCCUCAAGCCAAACUUUUUAGGGUGGGCUAUAUGAAUUCUCUGUAUUAAUUAUUUUCUACGAAACCAAAGUAAAAUUCGACAGCACGCAGACAGAAGAGAUAACUAUUCUAUUCUAGAAGCAAACAGAAGGGAGCACCAAAAUACAUCUUGCAAGAAGUAUGAUUCAAUACCUGAAAUUGUUUAUUUUGCAUUUUGCUUAGAUAGUUGACCGAAUAGAAUGUUCAAAGCUGUCUCACUGGAGCGUGCAGCUUGCGUAGCUGUGGUGGCAUAGGGCUGCAUGAUACAGUGGCACGAAAAGCAAUUCUCACCGAGUAAUGGCAUAGGGCUGCAUACUACAGUGGCAGAAAUGCAUCUUCAUUUCUGAACUUUUUCUCCAAUUAUGUGCCGAAAUCUAUAAGGAACUGGUCAAACAAUCAUGGGAAACCGACAAACUGAAUUACCAAACUUUUGAAGACCUAAAUUACAGUGGCACCAAAAGCAAUUCUCACCGUCAUUCAAGUUUCUCUAAGCACAUAAAUAGUAACUGAAUAUGCCAUGAAACCACAGAUGCAUCUCUUCAUGCUCAUUUCAUGCAUGAAGUACCAUUUGUACAAAUAAGUUAAUUUUACAUAUUACUCGUGUGAUCUAUUUUUCAGAUCUAAAAAGAUCCUCAAGCCAAACUUUUUAGGGUGGGCUAUGUGAAUUCUCUAUAUUAAUUAUUUUCUACGAAACUAAAGUAAAAUUUGACAGCUUCAAGAGACAUCUUAAAUCUUCAUUCUUAAACCAUUCUAAUCCAAUAAGUAAAAGGUGCCAAUUAUAAUUCUGAAAAUUUACUUCCUUUUAUAGAAGUUACAAAUUUGAGAUAGACACUUCAAACGGAACUUUUUUCUUCUUUGAAAAAACAUUCACCACAAAAUCUAGAACAGAACCUUACAAUCAAAGCUUCAAAAAACGAAAAUAUCAAUCAAUAAAUAGAGUUUAAAGAUGUAUUAUGAAAAGUAACUAUAUAAAGAUUUUAAAGCCUUGAUUCAACAUAGCAGAAGUGAAUUAAGCAAGAUAAUGAAAUAACUCUAACUAAAAAGUGAUCUAGCAACACAAAUUAAAAAUAAAAAGGAAAGGGUUAUAUAUAUAUAACAUGUACAUAUAAACCAAUGCAGAAAUCAUCUUCUUCAAUAGAACAAAUGCAGAAAACAGUUUCAGCAAUCCGAAUGAAGCCAUGCAUGAAAACAAAGCAGAAGCAUUUGAUUAAAAAUAGUUUACCUGCAAAAGGAAGCAAUGGUGAACAGCAUAGAGAGAGUUGCUGCUGAAUUUCCACCCAAAACAAUUUCCACUUCUAGCUAUAUAGAGUAUUGAUCAAUUCAGAAUUUCGACAACCCUAGAGGAAUCUGCAAUUUUGGCAGGUAAAACAGUUCAUUAAAAAAAGAGAAAAAAUAGGAGAAAAGGCUUUCUUUUCCUGAAUGAAAAGUAAUCUUUUCAGGUUUGGCCCGGCCCUAUUUAUUUUGACCUUUUAUAGCUGCGGGGAGAGGGGAAGUAUGGGUUAAACCUUUACCAUGAUUAAUUUUAAACCAUAAUUCAACUUUCCAACUUUUUAUUAUUUGGAGAAGAUAAAUUUUAAAAAAGAUAUUUUGGAGUUUAUAAAUUAAUUGUUUGUUCCUUGCUAAUUGAAUUCCUGACUAUAUUAUAAUUCCUCAAAUAGAUAGGAAUUCACAUUUUGACUUCAUCGUAAUAUCUAAGAUCUAUUUCAAAUUUAGUUAACUUUGCCUUUCUUACUACUCCCUACGUCUUCUUUUCGUAUCAGAUUCUGGAGAUUCUCUUUCAUUGCUUCAUCAUCAUUAGUACUGAGAUUAAUGAGUUGAUAGAGAUGAAGAUGAAGAAAUAGUGUACUGUCCUCCUUUUGAGCUUUCGGAAUGUUGUUAGCUUUCCUUUUUUGUUUUCUUUUUGCUUUUUGUUAUUUUUACCUGUUUCCAGGUUGGGUUUGGGGCCUUGACCUGGUUUUGGGUUCAGUUUGUACGUCUUUCUUUUUGGUUAAUAAAAAGGCCUAUGGGGCCCUAUGCCUUUAAUUUAAAAAAAAAAAAAAAAUACUCCCUACGUUUCAAUUUGAUUGCCUUACUUUCCUUUUUAUUCCGUUUAAAAAGAAUAUCUUUCCUUUUUUGGAAAUCUUUAGCUUGAACAAUUUAAGACCACAAGAUUCGUUUGAACAAUUUAAAACCACAAGAUUCGAAAGUGUUUUACUUUCCUAAACUCCGUGUCUAGUCAAAAUUAGACUAACAAAAUAAAGCAGAGGGAGUAAGAGAAAGCAAGUAAAUAAGGCAAAAAAAUUUAUUUAUGAAGUGUUUCCUUUUUACACCUUUUUCAAGAAUGAAGUUCUUGGUUUUCAUUUACCUUAACUUUUUCAGCCACAAACUGACAAUAUAGUUGGCACUAAGUUCAUGAUUAAGAAUCUGGUUUAAAGUUUUAAUGACUGAGAUAUAUCAGUUGUAAACUAUCUCUUACAACUUAAUUGUCUUUAUCUGAACCUUUCCAGUUGUGUGACCGAAAAAAUAGUCUUUGGGGAAACCUCCUAUAUCUUCACAUUCCUUGCUAUUUUUCUUCGGUCUUUUAAAUCAACAUCCUGAGAAAAGAGUUUUGAAUUUCUGACUACAAUUAAACUUCCUUGAAUAGAUAGGAAUUCAUAUUGACUUCAUAAUAUCUAAAAUCUAUUUCAGAUUUAGUUAACUUUGACUUUAGGACUAAAAGAACACAAGUAAAUAAGGAAAAAAAUUUAGCGUUGAAGAUUUUGAUUCAUGGUCUUCCGGUGAAGGUGCAAAUACUAAUUAUACUUCCUUGAAUAGAUAGCAAUUCAUAUGUGACUUGCAGCAUAAUAUCUAAAAUUUAUUUCAGAUUUAGAUAACUUUGAUUUUCUUACUAAACGAACGCAAGUAUGGAAAAAAAUUUAGUGUUGAAGAUUUUGAUUCUUUAUUUUUCGGUGAGGAUGCAAAUAUUAAUAUUCAGAUCACCAUCUACUAACUUCCUUCUCUAUUUUUUGAAUAUAAAAUUGAAAAUACCAUUUAUGGCAUUUUUCCUUUUCCUCCUUUUUCAAGAACGAAUUCCUUAAUUUUCAUUUAUUUUAUCUUUUUCAACUAACAUAGUGACAAUGAAGUUAGCACUAAGUUGAUGAUUCAGAAUCUAGUAUAAAGUUUUAAUGUCUCAUCUAUGAUUUAGCCAUGAUUUAGCACUAAGGAACAUCGCUGUAUAUCAGACUGAAAAUGACUUUUUCACUCAGAUACCGUCCUAAAAAUAAAAGUUGGACUCAAAACUAUGAGUUACCACUUGUUGUCUUUAUCUGAUCCUUUCCGGUCUAUGUAAUCACUUGACUAACAAAAUAUUGUCUUAUGCAAAACCUCUUACACUGCUUAAUGCUAAAGCUGAGAUCUCUUUACAUUCACCAAGAAAGGACAAAAGCAGAUAAAGCUUGUAAGGAAGAGAAGGAACAAAUAUGUUCUCCAUUCCUUCAAAAAAUAUUAAUGUACGACAAAAUAGAGAUCAUGACAUAUGACCAAGAAUUGCAUAUGACUGUAAAGGUGGAAAAUGGGAGGGUUGGGUCAAAUUCGGGCGCAUCAAAAUGGGUCAAAGCAAUUAUUGGGUCCCCGCCAAAAAUGGUUGGGUCAAGAUGGGUCAAACAACAGGUCAUAAACCAAUAUCUCCCCUCUUUCAGAACAUAUCACUGUUGUUAGAAGAAACUCAUUGACGUUUUGCAUUUGGGGAACUGGUAAUAUGUAUUAGAGUGUACCCGCGUCUAUGAUUCAAUGACUUGUCCAUGCCAAUGUGAUUUAAUCUAACUAAUUAGACUAAUUGUGCCAUCUAAGCUUACCAAAAAAAUUUGGCCUGAUUUAGUUAUGUUGAAAUUGCACAAAUGAUGGAAACAGCCUUUCUACUUCAUCAGAGGUAGAGGUAUGGACUGCGUACAUCUUACCCCCCAGACCCCACUAAGUGGGAAUACACUGGGUUUGUUGUUGUUGUUGUUGUUGAAAUUGCACAAAUGAUGGAAGAAACAAAAUCAUAAUUACCCUAGUCACCAAAUUUAUUUCAGAUUUAGUUAACUUUGAUUUUCUUAUUAAAUGAACGCAAGUAAGUUAAAAGGGCAGCCCAGUGCACUCAAGCUACCGCUAUGCGCAGUGUCCAGGGAAGGGCCCCACCACAAGGGUAUAUCGUAUGCAACCUUACCUUGCAUUUCUGCCAGAGGCUGUUUCCAAAGCUUGAACGCGUGACCUUCUGAUCACAUGGCAGCAACUUUACUAGUUACUCCAAGGCUCCCCUUCGAAACAAACGAAGUAUGGAAAGAAUUUUUUUUUUUUAUUCUUUAUUUUUCGGUGAAGGUGCAAAUACUAAUAUUCAGAUCACCAUCUACUAACUUCCUUCUCUAUUUUUUGAAUAUAAAAUUGAAAAUACCAUUUAUGGCGUUUUUCUUUUUCCUCCUUUUUCAAGAACGAAUUCCUUAAUUUUUAUUUACUUCAACUUUUUCAACUAAAAUAGUGACAAUGAAGUUAGCACUAAGUUGAUGAUUAAGAAUCUAGUAUAAAGUUUUAAUGUCUCAUCUAUGAUUUAGCCAUGUUUUGCUAUUGCGGAGUUGCGAUAUAUACAUUAAGUAUAAUAUUCCUUGCUAAAUUUUCUUCCGUCUUCUAAAUCACAUCCUGGAAUGUUUUUUGAAUUUCUGCCUUCCUUGAAUGGAUAGGAAUUUAUUACAGAUUUACUUAACUUUGACUUUCUUACUAAAAGAACGCAACUAAAUAAGGAAAAAAAUUUAGAGUUGAAGAUUUUGGUUCUUGGUUUUUUGGUGAAGGUGCAAAUACUAACUUCCUUUUCUAUAUUUUGAAUAUCAAAUUGGAAAUAUUAUUUAUGACGGUUGUCCUUUUCCUCCUUUUUCAAGAAUGAAGUUCGUAUUUUACAUUUACCUUAACCUUUCCAACCGACAUAGUGACAAUGAAGUUAGCACUGAGUUGAUGACUAAGAAUCUGGUGUAAAGUUUUAUUGACUGAUAAGAUUUAGUCAUGCUGUUGAUACUGCUGAACAGAGACUUGUAUUACUCAGUGCUUCUGCACUAAUAUUAAAGGUCUAAGACUUCAAUUUUGCAGAAAACAAAUUGAACUCUGAUUUGUGUCAUCUGGUUGACCUAAAAGCUGGAAGGAACAUCGCUGUGUAUCAGACUGAAAAUGACUUUUUCACUCAGAUACCUUCCUAAAAAUAAAAAUUGGACUCAAAACUAUGAGUUACCGCUUGAUGUCUUUAUCUGAUCCUUUUCGGUCUAUGUAAUCACUUGACUAACAAAAUAUUGUCUUGUGCAAAACCUCUUACACUGCUUAAUGCUAAAGCUGACAUCUCUUUUACAUUCACCAAGAAAUGACAAAAGCAGAUAAAGCUUGUAAGGAAGAGAAGGAACAAAUAUGUUCUCCAUUCCUUCAAAAAAUAUUAAUGUACGACAAAAUAGAGAUCGUGACAUAUGACCAAGAAUUGCAUAUGACUGUAAGGGUGGAAAAUGGGCGGGUUGGGUCAAAUUCGGGCGCAUCAAAACGGGUCAAAGCAAUUAUUGGGUCAAGAGCCAAACCCGCCAAAAAUGGUUAGGUCAAGAUGGGUCAAACAACAGGUCAUAAACCAAUAUCUCCCCUCUUUCAGAGCAUAUCACAGUUGUAACAACGAAGAAACUCAUUGAUGUAUUAGAGUGCACCCGCGUUUAUGAUUCAAUGACUUAUCCAUGCCAAUGUGAUUUAAUCUAGCUAAUUAGACUAACUGUGCCAUCCAAGCUUACCAAAAAAAUUUGUCCGGAUUUAGUUAUGUUGAAAUUGCAUAAAUGAUGGAAGUAACAGAAUCAUAAUUACCCUAGUCACCAAAUUCCGCAUCUACAUCAUUGAUCACUAGGCACACUAAUCAUCCCAUAGUCAAAACACUCAAGGUCAGAAAGAGAACUGAUUAGAGUAACAAUCCACAAUUGUUAUGCGAGAAGUAAGGUAAGUUUACCAUAACACAACCAGAACACCAUAAGCAUUCUGAUAAACUACACAAGUUUAUACAAACGAAACGACUAAAGGAUUCAAGUUAUUACAGUUAAGCCAGUACCAUGGACAGUAGAAUUAAGCUGCAUUCACAUUCGAGAGGACCUGUAGCAUGAGUAACUAAGAGCUAUCGUUGUGGCAUCAAGCAUUUGAUCAGCAGCAAACAUGAUCUUCCACUGCAGCAAGAUCUAUUAGAAAAGUAGUACAAAGAAUUACUAAUUGAUCCAUAUGAAUGAGAAAUCAGUUUUGCAUCUCAAACAGAACCAUAUGAAGAAACUCCUGUAAACAAAUACUAAAUAGAUAAAUUAGCCGCUUUCCAUUGCAAGUGCAACAAUAUCAAGAAACUACAACCCAUAAACAGAUAACUGUGGAGUAAGUUUCUUUUUUCGAGACUACAUAUUUAACGAUAGCAAUCAUGUCAUGUAAGUACCACGACAUGCCACAAAUGAGUGAAAUAACAUGAAUACAAGCAUAUUAAUGAAUAGGGGUUGAAUAAAUAGGGCAAUGGAUAGAGGCUGUCGCAAGGAUAAGUUCAGCAUCUAAGAAAAGAAAGCACAAGGACAGUGCAAAGUCACCAUGAACUAGCUAACAAGACUAUACGCAAUCAGUAUCAGAUCUCCCAAUGCAUUUUCUCUAUCAAAUAAUAAAAUGACAUACAUGAAUUUACAGAGCAAUUAGAUCAAGCAUGCACAUGACACACAUCAGAAUAUGGCUAAGAAUCACAUUUGAACUCCAAAUGUGAUGGUUGCUGAGAUAUUUGGCAACCUAAACUGCAUUCACGUUUAUGCUGCUCACACCUGAUUUUUGGCAUUUGCAACUCAACAUCCUAUUCCUACAUUAACAUUACUAAGCAUGAUUGUGUCAGAGCCAACAUUCGACGGGUACCUACUAGAUUAACAUAGUUCUCCAUCCUCUACAACCGUGAUGGAGAUAAGUACUAGAAAUAAUCCAUCCUCUUCAAUUUCCUUUUAUUUUCUUCCCCUUCCUCUUCAUUCAAAUAGACUAGCCCUAAAAAGAAGAGGGAUCAAAGAGGAAAAAAAUAAAGUUGGAUUUAAAGAAUUUAAUCUACCCGACCAUCAACCUCUCUACUUCUUCGGAGGUAGCGGUAUGGACUACGUACAUCUUACCCUCCUCAGACCCCACUUUGUGGGAACACACUGGGUUUGUUGUUGUUGUUGUUGUUGAAUCUACCCGACUAUGAGAAUCAAACUGAUUAAUAUUAUAUUUAUCUUCUGGAAGACACUGAAGUAACCCUAAAUCAUUUUCCAAAUGAAAACAAGAUAAAUAUAAACGUUGAUCAUCCAUUAACUAUAUAUAAUGUCAGUUGAGCAAGUGGUUGAAGUAACCCUAGUUAAGUUUUCAAUUAAAACAAAGAAAGAAAACUAAGUUUGGAACAUCCGAACACAUAUAGCUCAAAUCUAAAAUUGGUCUAUAAUUUUUUAUUUGCUUAUCUAGGGUUUUUGGACCUGACAAUCGAAUGAAUCAAAAAAUAGAUGACAGGAUGAAACAUGAGUUACAUGUCACUGCCUAAACCUUUUUGUUGAGCGAAAUUAAGCUGUUGAAGUAACAUCUUAGGUAUGAUGAGAACUUAAUCACCGAAAAGAAAGUCACUUCAAAGUUUUCAUCACCAUAGUAGCAUAUAAUUUAGGCAAGAUGGUUUGUUCUCUGAAAGUCAAAUAUAACAUCCACUCAACAACAACAACAAACCCAGUGCAAUCCUACAAGUAGGGUCAUCAGAGAUAGGAUGUAUGCAGACUUAUCCUACCUUUGCGGGUUAGAGAGGUUGCUUUUGGGAAUCCCACAACUACUUCCACUCACACCCUAAAACCGCAUCAUAAGAUGGUGAAUGUUUUUGUUACUCUAGCUUCAUUGAGAAUCCAAAGUGGAAAACCCUUACUGACACGAUUGCAGGAAACAUAUAGAUGUACCUCUAGUCUUCUAACAUGAAGAGAAAGCCAUUGACGCGUUAACUGCUCAUGCAAAGUGUCAAAUCUCUGGUACCAUAGCUGUCCUGGUUUCUCUAUCUUGGCAUUCACGCAAACGACAAAAAAGGAGAAAAUAAAUGGUUACAACUAACCAAAUCCAACUAUCCUAGUUGUUCGGACUUGCUCUGGAUUUACUAUCCAAUACAACAUACAUUAAGUCGACGGGGUUGGUAACAAAUUUAAUCCCACUUUACCUACCGACCACGUGUUCAAUAGACAUUAGUAUGACCAAUAAUUACUUGUUGAACAAGCAUGUGGAAUACAUAAAAAACUAUAAGAGUUGGAAACACUUUCUGUACUUCGCAACAUCGAUAAAGACAUCAGAUAUCACUUAUCAGUUAUUUCUUAUGAUACUAGGUAAUGGCUACGGAUGACACAUCCCAAGCAUGCAUGUAUAAUCAUUGCAUUGGUAAGAAAAUUGAAACUUAUGUUUUGGCUUUAUCUUGGCAUCAACACCAGUAGUGGAAAAAGCUUGUAAUUUCCUAGUAAGAGAAUCCAUCAUUAACUUCUUUAUAGUACAGAGUAUCAAACAAAUGUGCGAAAGUACAUCGAUCUGUUGUCUAAAUUUGCAUACCCACAAAAUCCAGAUAUGCCAAAUCAUUUUCUCCACUAAUGCAAAAUAUAGAAGAAGUGACUGAUAAAAGUGUAGACUCUCGACUGUACAUUCAACUCCUAUCUCCAUACAUCAAUGUGAGCUGCAGAAAAGGUUCGUCUUUUUAUAAGUGAUGCACAAAAUUAUACAAGUACUUUACUCGAGUUUAGUUAAGAUUGCCAUAAAUGCAAGUCUUGCUUAGAUAACAUUCCUUUUGAGAAGAUGGUCUAUCAAAAACCACCCCGCUACCCCUUAGUUAUACAAGUACUUCACUCGAGUUUAGUUAAGAAUGCCAUAAAUGCAAGUCCUGCUUAGAUAACAUUCCUUUUGAGCGGACGGUCUAUCAAAAACCGCCCCUCUACCCCCUUCCUACCAUCCCGAGGCAUGUUGUUGUUGCCGUAAAUGCAAGAAGACAAACAUAUAAAAAGCGAAGAUAUUUGUAGCUACCAUCUGAUUGAAUGAAACUAAAAAAAGAACAAACUUUGUAAUUUUAAUAACAAAACUAGUUUAACUACUCAGGAAAAAAGAAGAAAGUUACCACAUUUAACGAAAAUGGAAUAAAGCAAUUUGACCAAUUUUAUUGCAAGGAUACCUUUAAUCAUCGACAUUACCCUGUGCACUGCUCUCUCCACUAGCAAUGGUCUUAUCCUCAGCAACCUGCCACGCCUGAGGCUGGGCAUAGACAGAUGGGUAAACCCUAGGCUUAGCAGUACUUCUAAUCAUCACCUCAGAUGGAGCAGUCUGCCCCAUGGGUGGAUUGAAGUUCUGAAUACCACUUGACGCAGUCCCUCUAAUCAUCACCUCAGAUGGAGCAGUCUGCCCCAUGGGUGGAUGGGCGUUCUGAACAUCACUUGAUGUGGAGCCAAGCAUGCUGGGCCCAAAACCAGCACCCUCUUCCCUGAUCUCAUCCUUAUGAACAAUGUCAACAAGGAAAUCAAAAAGCUCAGUCCGCUCAAUCGCCUUGGCGACAUCCUUCUUCUGCACCAUCCGUCGUUUAUUCUCCUCCGUGUUAAGCCACGAGUGGAGAGUAAGUUCCUGUAUGAACAUUUCACAUGCUUUCACCAUCAACAUUGGUGCUUCCCCGGAGACCUUGCAAACAUCCUCGUUAUCUUUCAUCAACCUCUUGACACGAGCAAGCGGAAGUUUGUUGUUCUUGAAAUUGUUCGUCUCGUUAAUUUCCUUGAGCUGACACGCCCAAAAUGCUUCCAACUUCUGUUGCUGUUCCUGUUCUUUUUGAUGAUGAUGAUGCUGCUGAAGGAGUUGGUUGUAGGGAACCUGCAGUGGGUACCCAGCGGCAGCGGCCGCCGCCACUGAAUUCUCCCCUAGUUGUUGUUCCUGCUGCUGCUGCAGGACAUGGUAGUAGGGUACCACCAUUGGAUACCCAGCCGCAGCUGCAUUCUCUUCCAACCGCUGUUCUUGUUGUUGCUGCUGAAGGAGCUGGUAGUAGGGUACCUGCAGUGGGUACCCAGUUGCCGCUGCCACCGCCGCAGCAGCAGCUGCAUUCUCUGCCAACGGCUGUUCCUGCUCCUGUUGCUGCUGCUGCUGCUGCUGAAGGAGCUGGUAGUAGGGUACCUGCAGUUAGGAGUGAAAUCCGAUAUUUGGUUAGGUUUGGUUUGGUUUUGAAUUUUAAAAAAUCGAUACUAAUUUGGUUUGGUUUGGUUUUACUCUAAAAUAAUCGACAAAAUAACCAAACCAAACCGAUAUAUAUAUAUAUAUAUAUAUAUAUAAAUUAUUCAUAAAUACAAUAUAAAUAUUUGUUACAAUUUAUAUUUUAAUCAUGAUUUAACUGUAGUCGUAACACAUCCAGUCAUAUGUCUUCACCCAAUUGAUAGUACUUAUGAGAUUCUAAGUGAAUUUAGCACUUUGAAUGACAAAUGAUACUAAUUGUGAAAAUAAUAUCUUGUUGUAUGUUGAAAUUUACAGCUGACAUUAAUUAAACUAUAGACAAUUACUAGUUUUAAUUUUCUUUUUGAACCUUAUUGAGCAAUAAGUUUAUGUGUUCACUUUUUUGGGUUUAUCAUAUCAUUCUGUUAAAUGUAGUUAUUCCAUGGCUUUAUCGAAGUAUAACACCGAGUUGAUAUCUUAGUUUCAAGGUUGAAAUACAACACUCGGUUGACAUCUUAUAUGUUAGAUUGGAUUUUUUUAAAAGAAAUUUCAACUUUUAUCAUUAGCUAAAGUAAUAAACCGAAAAAAACAAACCGAACCGAACUAAACCAACGAGAACCAAACCAACGGUUAGUUUUUUGUUUGGUUUGGUUUUAGAAAUUUAAAAAACUAGGUUUGGUUUCGAACAGUAACGGACCCAUGAACACCCUACCUGCAGUGGGUACCCAGAUUCCGCCGCCACCUCUACACUCCCCACCGAUUGUUGUUCCAGUUGUUGCUGCUGUUGCUGGAGUUGGUAGUAGGGUACUUGCAGUGGGUACCCAGCUGCCGCCGCCGCCGCUGCAUUCACCGCCGCCGCCGCCGCCGCCGCCGCCGACUGCUGUUCCCGUUGCUGCUGCCGCUGAAGGAUAUGGUGAUAGGGUACCUGCAUUGGGUACCCCGCCGCCGCUGCCCCCGCAGCAUUCACCGCCGAUUGCUGCUCCUCCGGCUGUUGGAGAUGGUAAUGGGGUACCUGCAUUGGGUACCCACCUCCGGCCACUGCAUUCUCCGACGAGUUUUUCGAUGUGUUCUUCAUUGAGCUUUCAACGAAUGGGUGACAAAAACGAGGUUAACAAACACAGAGAGUGAGAAAUGGGUGUGUUGAGCUUCUGUUCAUACUCACUAUUUGUAACAAACUCCAUUUGCACUAUUUCUAACAAACUCCAUUUGCACUGUUUCUAACAAAUUCCAUUUGUACAUAUGAGCGAUUAAACGGAGGAGUGAGGUCCACCAUCCUCGGUAACGGACGGAACCUCGUUUCUUUGUAAGCGUAGCCGGUGGAAUCAUCUGAGUAAAAAAACGCCUCAGCCACAUCCAUUUUUUUGUGAUUGUCGAAAACGACAACUUCUCAACAGCCAAAAUCAUGAAUUGAACUGAAAAGCAGGUUCAAUUCAACUGCUAUAAAGAGACGAUCCAAAUAUAAUAACGUCAAUAACGUAAAUGCUGGUAACCUAAUAGUCUGUAAAGGCAAAAUAAUAGCUAAUAAGAUAAAAUGUUGAACCGAAAGGCAUUAGCAUUUGAAAGAUUUGAGUGUAAGUGGUUUUAACGAGGUGGAGACGAUGAUAAUGAAAACAGGUCGGGUGAAAAUGGGUGAGUUGGGUUGGUGUGCGUAUACGUAUGUAUGUUGGGUUGGGGUAGAAGAAUUAUAUUGUAAAAAAAAAAUUGUUAGAAUAAAAAUAUAAUAAGAUUUAAAAAAAAUAAUUAGUGAUGUAUUUUAUUCUUUCACUUUGAAUUUAUUUAUCAUAUUUUAAUCUUACAUAAUUAUUAAAAAAGUAAUUAUUUGUAUAGUAAAUUUAUCAUAUUAUUUCUAUUAAUUGAUGUUUAAAGGGUGUUUGAAUUAGUUUAUUUUAAAAUAAUUUAAUUUUUAAGUAUUUUUUACUUUUAAAGAUAUUUGGCAAAAAUAGAAAGUAUUUUUACACAUUUAACAAUACGCAAGUACAUACAAAAAGAAAAGGCCAAGUGGUUGCUAUAGUAGUUUUGGCUUUUAGUUUUUGCUAAAUUUAUUUGGCACGGAAAAAUAGACAUCUAUGACACGGUAAAAAUUUAUAUAUACCCGAUAUAUACAUCAAAUUAAUUUUUUUUAUCAUAAUUAUGUAAUUAAAUUAAGUAAAAUAUAUAUUGAUUAAUCAUGGUUAAGUAACAUCAAUUUUAAAUUCAAAUACAUGGCAUGCAAGUAUUGGCUUGGUAUAUACACCGGGUGCGUAUAAGUUUUUUUCCGCUAUGACACUGUCUUUGUAGUAUUUUUAUAAUUAACUUGUCAACUAAGGAUGGAUUAGUAACUUCAUAAAUUUUUAUGACUCAAAGAUACCCUUUAAAUUUUAAAAUACUUUACCGAAACAACAAACUACUCUCUCUCUUCCUAAAAAAAACCGUAUAUAUUCACGUAUAUAUUAUUUAAGACUAGUUUUUGACACGUGCUUUGCACGUAUAUGUCAAAUGGUGCAUUCUCCGAUAAUUUUUUCGAUGUGUUCUCCAUUGUGCUUUCGACGAAUGGGCGAUAAAAACGAGGUUAACAAUACAGAGAGUGAGAAAUGGUGUGUUGAGCUUCCGCUCAUACUCAUUAUUUCUAACAAAUUGAAUUUGUACAUAUUAGCAGAUAAACAAGGAGAGUGAGGUCCACCAUCAUCACUAACAGACGGAACCUCAUUUCUCUUUUGAGGGGAAAAUUGUCUUACACUCAUCCAAUUUUUUGUGCUAGUUGAAAAGGACAAACUCCUCAACAGCUAAAAAACAUGAAUUGAACUAAAAAGCAGGCUUAACUCAACAUGAUAAAGAGCCGAUCCAAAUUCAAUAACGUAAAUGCUGAUAAUCGAAUAGUUUAUAAAGGCAAAAUAACAGCUAAUAAGAUAAAAUAUUAAACGGAAGGCAUUAGCAUUUGAAAGUUUUGAGUGUAGGAGGUUUUAAUGGAAGUUUUAAGAUGGAGAAGAUGACAAUGAAAAUAGGUCGGGAGAAAAUGGGUUGGGUGUGUGUGCAUAUAUAUGUUGGGUUCGGUAAAAGAAUUAUAUUGGAGAAAAUUUUAAUCUAUAGAGUAUAUGUAUAAUUUAUAUUCUCUUUCUCUCCUCUCUUUCUCUCUCUCUGUAUUAUAAUUAUAAUAUAUUAAAAGUGUGAAUACCUUUAGAAAUGUGAUUUGAACCUUUCACCCUUCAUUAAAAAUCUCCACAAUAAAUGAAAUUGUCUUUUCACUUAUUUCCUGCAAUUAUUAUAUCAUUAUAUUUAUAAUAAAGGAUUCCUAAAUAUAUGGUAAGAAAAAAAUAUAUGAAAAUUUAUUAUUGCUGAAUUUUUUUUUUCUCUUUGUGUACUUGAGAAAGGAUUCCUAUAUUCAAAAUAAGAGGGAAAAAAGGAAAAUAAGAUGAUUUUUAUCAAAAUUUAAAUAAUAAAUUUAAUAGCAGACAUCUUUUAAUAAAUUAAAACAAGGAAAAUAACUAAAAGCACACGAUUUUUUUUUUUUGCUUCAAAUUUUGGUAGUAUUAGACCUCUAUUUUUUUUUACAAAAUAAAAAGAAAUAUAAUUUUAAUAGUAUAUUAUUGUUCGAACGUGCAGGACAUCUGCUAUAUUUGGGAAUCUUUAUUAUUUUUAUAUUAUUGUUAUAAAUGUAUUUACAUUAUAGUGAAUGUCUAUCAAGAUCUAUUUGAUAUCUAUUAGGAUUUGAAGCAUUCGUCUUUUACUCAGACUAGGAGUAAAUUUUUCCUAUAAAUAGAAGGGUUUCGUUCAUUGUAUUUACAAUCUUAUGAUCUCUUAUCCCUCAAGAGAAGUAAUAAGAAUUACUCUCUCUUCUCUCUCUACUCUUCUUCUUUGUUCUUUCUUAUUUUAUAACACGUUAUCAGCACAAAGUCUCUACUUUAUUUCAAUUAGUCAGACGGUAAGCUUGAAUCUUGGUAUGGGUAAGAUAUCUACGCGUGAUGUAAACUGAAAAUUUUGAUGGCUAAUAAAUAAUGAAUUUGUAUAAGGAAUAUAUAAUCUUUCUAUGUACGUACAAUCACUAGCCACUGUUGCUUAUUUAAAGUUAGCUUUUAAGGGGAAAAAAAAUCUACAUUAUAUGUAUGUAAUUUGCUGGCAAUGUUCUCUGUGUUGGUUACUUUUGCCGUAGCUAGCCACAUUUUUUUUUCUUUACAUAAAUUGUUAUGACAGUAUAGCCACGACAUGUGUAUUGCUACUUAUAUGUCCUAUUGUUUUGAGUACGAGAAAAUUGAAAAGUCCUACAUAUCGUUGAGUGUUAAUGUUAUUGUAUUAAUUUUGUAGAAUUUAUCCUAAACAAUCUUGUAAAUUGGAUAUCUCAUUGUGCANNNNNNNNNNNNNNNNNNNNNNNNNNNNNNNNNNNNNNNNNNNNNNNNNNNNNNNNNAGAUGAUAAUAUGUUGGGUUCAAGUCCCAUCGAUUCAUGCCUAAGAUGCCUUUAUAUAGAUCAAAUAUUGAGUUUGAAUCUCAAUACACCAUAUUGAUGAUAUUGUGAUGGCUAAGGUAAAAUAAUGGGUGUUUGAUGAAAAGUCAUGAAAUUCGACCCAUUGAAUAUGCUUCAUUCCAUUAGGUGAAUAUGGUAGCAAUGUAUGAUAAGUCUAAAAUAUGACAACUUACUUUAUUCUUGAGGUAUAUGUGGUAGCAGUGCAUAAUAUGUCUGAAAGAAGACAAGUGAUUGAAUGCACGAAUAUAUGCGUGGAGAGACAAUAUGAUAAUGAUCAUCAAAAGUGAUGAUAUUUUCACACGCUUAUAUGAUUAUAAGAUAUGCUAGAGAAAAAAAAUAAUUUUNNNNNNNNNNNNNNNNNNNNNNNNNNNNNNNNNNNNNNNNNNNNNNNNNNNNNNNNNNNNNNNNNNNNNNNNNNNNNNNNNNNNNGGCUUAAGGCACGAUUAUAUUUCAUUCCUGGGGAAUGAGAAACUUAUUAAUGCAAACAUGCACUUGAUUGUGCUUGUAUCACAACUCACCUCCGAAAGAGGUUGAAUAAUUUUGAAACCUACUUCUGAAGUAGUAAAUCUAAAAUUUAUUCAUGUAAGAGUAAAUCUAAAAUUUACUAAAGAAAAAGUACAUGUCAUGGUAAACUUGGAGUUUACUAGAAUAAAAGUUCAUAAAUUGAUAUGAACAAUUGUGACAUCUUGAAGAUGUGCAUGUCUUGAAGAACUAGAAGUUUUUUCAAGAAUUGUUUAUGUCGUUUGUUCUCAUGACAAGUUGGUUGGACCACCUAAUAUUGGGCUUGAAUCCCUUCAAAUCUGACAAUUAUAAAAGGUGAAUAAGGGUUCGUUCACCUAUCAUGUGAUAUGUUGAAAAGAUGCAUCAAUAAGAUGAUCACAUGUACAUUCAUGGUCAACCUACGUUUGACAUUCAUAAAGUUACUUGUUCAAUAUAAAUUGAGCAUAAUUUUCAGAUUGUGCAAUCAAGAAAGUUAUCUUGACGAUGAUGGUUAGGCAUUGAAUGCCUUUGAUAAAUAGCUAAACCAUCACUAAUGAGAACAAAGCUUCAUGUGUUGGUCUGAAAUAUAAUAUGUUGCAUACAAUAACACUUGUAUGCAUUAGACCAAUAAAUUAUGAUUAUUUCUUCUCUCUCAAUUGGUUCAAGGUCGGGAACUAAUUAUUUCAUCUAAUAUUUUGAUGUGCAGUAUACGAUUAAUGAAUAUACCAUAAUGCACAAAGAUGGAUUCCUCAAAGAAGUAGAGGAUGUAUAUUAGUUUUUCUAACAUAAGGGGGAUAUUAUAAGCGCUGUGAAAUAUGUUAGGAAUUAUUAUCACAUCCUCAUCCAAAAGAUAACUCAAGUCAAAUGUCGAAAGCAUCUCAUAUCAAGCGCAGGUGCUCUUAUUUUGUGUUUCUCAAAGACAGAGUCUAUGCAUGCGUAAAGCGUAGUAGACUAAUCGGUUCUAAAUGAAAUAGUCCUUGAAAAAUAAGGAGCAAAUAAUCAUAAUAAGAAAGCAAUGAGCUCUUGAAGAGCCUAUGACAUAACACUUCAUAAAACCUUAUGAGAGGUUCAUGUAUCUGAAAAUAAUGAAGUGAUUAGAUCUCAAAAUAUUAUGUCUCAUUGUGAUCAGAUACGAAAUGAUAUAUCAUCAAUAUAUUUGACACAAUAUUGACGCAAUAUUGAGAAAGAUUACAAGGAUCUGAAUUCUACGUUUAUUUAAGCAAGCUGACGUAGAAACAUUUAUCAAGUGACAUGAAAGGAUGCAUUUUGGUAAGCGUAAAACUUAUUUGAUUUGCAGUCCAGACACUUGAAGAUGUCACUUAUGAAAUGUUGAAUAUUAUCACUUGACAAAACUUAUGUGAAAACUUUUAAGGAUUCAAACUACUUGAAGCAUAUAAAAGUUUCUGGGAAACUUAUUUAUAAUCCUUAUAUUGUAUAAGCUUAUUGCUUGAACAUCAUUGAAACUCUUGGAGAGUUUUCAAAGCAAUAGAUUAUUUGCUGAAAUUCGAAAUAUGUCGAAUUAGAUUGGUUAUGAAGUGCCAUAUCUUAGUGCAAUUGAUGUAAUCAUGUACCUUGCAAAUACUAUAAGGCCUAUAGCCUUUCCAGUCAAUUUGUUAGCAAGGUAUAUUUCUGCUUCUACUAUGAGACAUCAAAUGGGAUAAAACACAUGAGUUUAUUUUAUUCUAAAGAUUGCAGUCCCGAUCUUACUGGUCAUGCUGAUGUUGGGUACUCAUCUAACCCGCACAAAUCUCGAUCUCAAACAUACAAUAUGUUCACAUGUGGGGAUACUGCCAUAUCUUGGAGAUAUACAAAGCAGUCUAUUGCAGCCACUUCAUCAAAUCAUGCUGAGAUAAUAGGUAUUCAUGAAGCAAAUUGAGAAUGUGUAUGGUUGAGGUCCAUGAUACAUCUCAUUCGAGAAAAAUGUGGUGUGAAAUAUGACAAUCUACCUACAAUUUUAUACAGAGAUAAUUCAACAUACAUAGCACAUCUUAAGGGAGGAUUCAUAAAUGGAGAUAGAAUGACGCACAUUUUGCCAAAAAUUUUCUACAUACAUGAGCUACAAAAGAAUGAUGAUAUUAACGUGCAAAAAAUUCGUUCAACUGACAAUGUGACUGAUUUAUUCACCAAAUCUUCUCCAAUUGCAAUUUGCAAGAAGAUGCUGCACAAGAUCGAGAUGCAAAGGUCAAGGAUGAUCUCAUUAAGGGGAGUUAAUACGCGUUGUACUCUUUUUCCCUUAUGAGGUUUUGUCCCACUGGGUUUUCAUUGUAAAGUUUUUAAUGAGGCAGCCUAUAUGCGUAUUGUUAGAGAUGUGUACUCUUUUUCCUUCACUAGAUUUUUUUUCACUGGGUUUUUUCUAGUAAGGUUUUAACGAGGUACAUUAUCUACCAAUUAGACAUUCAAGGGGGAGUGUUAUAAAUGUAUUACAUUAUAGUGAAUGUCUAUCAAGAUCUACUUUGAUGUCUAUUAGGAUUUGAAGCACAUGUCUUUUACUCAGACUAGGAGUAAAUUCCCCCUAUAAAUAGAGGGGUUUUGUUCAUUGUAUUUACAAUCUUAUGAUCUCUCAUCCCUCAAGAGAAGUAAUAAGAAUUACUCUUUCUUCUCUCUCUACUCUUCUUCUUUGUUCUUUCUUAUUUUAUAACAAUUAUAUUAUUAUCAGAAAAUUUUUAUGAUUGCACCCCGAAUGAAAAACUUUCAUAUUUAGUUAAUCCUUUUUGGACGAUGGUUUAGACUUCUACAAAUUAAGGAUUCUUUCUUUCUAAAAUAAUAUAAAAGCAUUUACAAGGUACAUAUUGGUGGAACAAAUAUUUUUAUAACUAGUUUUUCGAUGAACUUUAAAGAUGUUGUCUAAUAAUCACAAAAUGUCAGACUUUAUUGAAUUGUUCUAAUAUUUUAAUUAGAGAAAAUGCAUCAAAUUCCCCCUGAACUUGUCCGCUCAACUCACUUUAGCACUUAAACUAAAUUUUUUAUUUAUUUACCCCCUAACAUCUUUAAAGUGAUUUAAUUUUAACCCUACAGCUGAUGUGGCAUUUAAAAAAAUAUGCAUGAAUAUUAAAAAAAAAAUACUAAUAUUUUAUAUAUAUUUUUUUAAAAAACUACUAUUCCCUCCGUUUAAAAAAGAAUGAUCUACUUUUCUUUUUAGUCCGUUUAAAAAAGAAUGACCCCUUUCCUUUUUUAACAAUACUUUAAUUUCAUCUUUCCACAUGACAUGUUUAGGACCACAAGAUUAAAGGACAUUUUGGUACAUUUGACACAACUUUAAUUUAAGGCCACAAGAUUUAAAAGUCUUCUUUAUUUUCUUAAACUUUGUGCCGAGUCAAAGUAGGUCAUUCUUUUUUAAACGGAGUGAUUAAUGUAUAUAUAUAGAAAAAGAAAAAGAAUUAAAAAAAUUCCUCUUCUUCUUCACCCAUCCCACCCCCAAACCCGUCAACACACUCCUCUUUCACCAAAUCCACCACCAAACCCACCAACAUCCCCACCCCACUUUUCCCCCAAUUACGAAAACUGUCAUCCCCCAUCUUUAAUUUCCCCUCCUUCAACCCCUUAGAUCAAUAAAAAAGAAUGAAAAUUAAAAAAUCGACAUGGUUUGGAUGUUUGGUUGUUGAUUUUAGAGAAUUUGGUGUUGAUUUGAUCAAAUUUUUCAAGUGGAUUGAGAUUUUUAUUACUAUUUUAUGGUAUUUUUCGAUGGUGGUAAUUGAAUUUUUCAAGUGGGUUGAAUUUUUCGGCAAAAAUUUAUCAAAAAAUCUGACAGGUGUGGCUAUGCGUGGGUGGACGGAGGAAGAUGGAGGUGUGGCAGUGUGGGGGUGGACGGGGGUGGAUGGUGUUUGUGUGCAGGUGGCGGUGGAUGGGAGGUGGUGUAAUACCCCAAAAAAUGCAAAUUAAUCUUAGCACCAUAUUUCAAGCUUAUGCAUAGUACAUCAUGGUUCUUUGGUAGUUUUAUGAUCAAGUUUGAUGUUAAUUAAGGUCUCAAAUACGUCCUAGCUAUUAGAUGAAUCAAAACAUUCCUUACCGAUUGAAUUCUUAGGAAGGAUAUUGGUAUAGUCAAAUUUAANNNNNNNNNNNNNNNNNNNNNNNNNNNNNNNNNNNNNNNNNNNNNNNNNNNNNNNNNNNNNNNNNNNNNNNNNNNNNNNNNNNNNNNNNNNNNNNNNNNNNNNNNNNNNNNNNNNNNNNNNNNNNNNNNNNNNNNNNNNNNNNNNNNNNNNNNNNNNNNNNNNNNNNNNNNNNNNNNNNNNNNNNNNNNNNNNNNNNNNNNNNNNNNNNNNNNNNNNNNNNNNNNNNNNNNNNNNNNNNNNNNNNNNNNNNNNNNNNNNNNNNNNNNNNNNNNNNNNNNNNNNNNNNNNNNNNNNNNNNNNNNNNNNNNNNNNNNNNNNNNNNNNNNNNNNNNNNNNNNNNNNNNNNNNNNNNNNNNNNNNNNNNNNNNNNNNNNNNNNNNNNNNNNNNNNNNNNNNNNNNNNNNNNNNNNNNNNNNNNNNNNNNNNNNNNNNNNNNNNNNNNNNNNNNNNNNNNNNNNNNNNNNNNNNNNNNNNNNNNNNNNNNNNNNNNNNNNNNUAUAUAUAUAAAUUGAUGGCUUGACAUGAAACACACGUAUACUUGACUAGUAUGUAUGAAAAAUGUGAAGUAUAUUACAAAUAUUGUUUGAACUUUUUGCCUUCACUAAAAGUCUCUACUUUGGUCAAAAUCAUAUUUUUCACUAUUUUUCUAAUACUUAAGAAUUGAAAAUUAAUCAAAUAUUUAUAGUAAAAUAUUUUCUUAUUAAAAUUCAUUAAAAUUAAUGACAACUAAUAUAUUUUUCAUUAGUUUAAGAAUUCUAAACCAACUAAAGUUGAUUUUAGAAAGAUUUGAAAAAUCUAGAAAUAAAUAGAAAAGCAUUAGAAUAAAAGAAAUAUAAGAAGUGCCAAAUUUUUAAAAGUUUUAAGUAAGUAAUCAAAGAUUUUCUAAGGAUUUAAUUUUAAAAAUAAGAAAAUGUUAUAUAUAUAUAUAUAUAUAUAAAAAUUUUAAAAAAUAAUCAUACUACAAAUAUGAUACAAAUCGAUGUGUCUCUCUUAGCCUCUAAUAGUAAGAAAAAGACGUAUUGUAUGACAAGCGCAAAAGUGACGAUUCAUUAACCACUUGAAAGUUUUAGUGGUAAAAUACACAUGUGCUUACCGUAAAAUAUAUGUUAUAUUUAUAUUGUUGUAUUAAAGUGCGAAAAUUUUUUAAAUAAUAACUUUUUAAAUUUAAUUAAAACCUUCACAAUAGAUAAAAUCGUUUAAUUUUAAAAAAUCAAAGGUUACACGUGCGAGACACAUGCGGUUAAAAUAGUUAGAAUAAAAAUAUAUUCAAAUUAAAAUAAAUUUAAUUAGUGAUGUAUUUUACUCUUACACUUUGAAAUUAUUUGUCAUAUUUUAAUCCGACACAAUUAUUAAGAAAAAAAUUAUUGAUGUAGUAACUUUAUCAUAUUAUUAUUAAUUGAUGUUUAAAGGAUGUUUGAAUUGACUUGUUUUUAAAUGUUUUGGCUUUUAAAUAUUUUUUUUAAUUUUUAAAGAUAUUUGGCAAAAAUAAAAAGUGCUUUUAAAUAUUUAACUUUAAACAAGUACAAAAAAAAAAAGUCAAAAGUGGCUGCUACCUAAUUUUGGCUUUUGACUUUUAGUUUUUGAUAAAUUUAUUUGAAUGAAAAAAAAUGACAUGUAUGACACUGUUUUUGUGAUAUUUUCGUAAUUAACUCAUCAACUAAGAGUGAGUUAGUAACUUCUCAAAUUUUUAUUACCCAAGAAACCUUCCAAACAAUAAAAUCACUUUAUCGAAACCACAAACUUCUCUCUCUCUCUUCUGCCAGCAAAAAAAAAACACUAUCCAAGAUUUUAAUCUCUGCCCAAUAAAUUUUUGCAUAAGAUUCUAUCUCACCCAACAAUAAUUUUGUGUGAGACCAUUCUAAUUUUUUGACAAGUGUUUUAAUGGGUCUUAUUUUGUCAGUCAAUCCUUACCCCUUCAUUUUUUCAAAUUCUUUUUUUUUGGUUGUUUUAUUUUUGGGGUGGUGGUGGUGGUGGUAAAUGUUCUCUUCAUUUUCUCUCCCGUGUCCCUUUUCUCUUCAGAUAUUUUAUAUUCGACUUCAACAUAAUUCAAACACUCAAAAUAAGUAAUUUUGAAUAUAAAGUAGGCUUUUAGAAUUAUAAAAAUAUAAAUUACUACCUCCGUCUUAAUUUGUAUGAGUUACUUUGACUUGACACGAAGUUUAAUAAAGAAAAAAAAAAUUUAAAAUUUGUGAUCUAAAAUAAGUGAUAGAUAUUUGUGUGGCUAUAAAUUAUUUUACUAAGAAAUAUAUUAAGAUUAAAAAAAUUAAUUAGUGAUGUACAUUACUCUUUCAUUUUGAAUUUAUUCAUCACUAUUAAUCUGACACAAUUAUUAAGAAAAUAAUUAUUGAUGUAAUGACUUUAUCAUAUUAUUAUUAAUUGAUGUUGAGAGGGUGUUUGAAUUGACUUAUUUUUAAAUAUUUUAGAUUUUUAAUAUUUUUCUUAUUUUUAAAGAUAUUUGGAAAAAAAUAAAGUGCUUUUAAAUAUUUAACUUUAAGCAAGUACAAAAAACAAAAAGCCAAAAAUGGUUGCUACCUAAUUUUGACUUUUAGUUUUUGAUAAAUUUAUUUGGCGUGAAGAAAAUGACACGAAAGACACUGUUUUUGCCUUAUUUUCGUAUUAACUCGUCAACUAAGGUGAAUUAGUAACUUCACAAAUUUUUAUUACCCAAGAUAUCCUCCAAACUUUAAAAUCACUUGUUAUCGAAACCACAAGCUACUUUUCUCUCUUUUCUUCCAGCAAAAAAAAAUACUGCCCAAGAUUUUGCUUUUUGCCUAAUAAAUUUUUGUAUAAAAUUUUACCUCACCCACCAAUAAUUGUGUGAGACCAUUAUAGUUUUUUGACAAGUGUUUUAAUGAGUCCUAUUUUAUUAGUCCACCCUUUUCCCUUCAUUUCUUCAAAUUCUUCUUUUUGGUUGUCACGUUAUAUUCUUUUUGUUUGUUAAAUGUUCUCUUCUUUUUGUCUCUAGUUCCCCUUCUCCUCUUCAAAUAUUUUAUAUUCGGCUUCAACAUAACUAAAGGACUUAAAACAGUUACGGUUUUUGCUCUAAUUUUCUUACAAAGUUUAAGUUUUGCCCUUUUUAAAAGAAAAAUAAAAGUAAUACCAUAAUUACUUUUAUUUUUUUUUGAAAGAAAAUUUUAAAAUUUUCAUAUUUGGUAAAAAUCUCUUUCUUGGAGGAAAGGUUUUGAAACUCUCUAAAUAGAAGACCCCCUUCUCAUACCAUAACCAAAUAGCAUCCACAACGUAGUUGUUUAAAAAUUUGGUUUAGGGGAUGAUUGAACCUUGUUGAGCAGGAAGUUUAUGUGUUCACCUUUUUGGAGUUUAUCAUAUCAUUCUGUUAAAUGUAACUAUUAAAUAUUUUUUUAGAAGCAUUCAUAUGGUGUUGUUCAUGGCUUUGUCGAAGUAUAAUACUCAGUUGAUAUCUUAGUUUUAAGAUUUAGAUACAAUACUCGUUUGACAUCUUAUAUGUUAGAUUGGAUUUUUAAAAAAAAAUUCUACUUUUAUCAUUACCUAAAGUUAUAAAUCGAAAAAAUCAAACAAAAUCGACAAGAACCAAAUUGACGGUUACUUUUUCAUUUGAUUUGGUUUUAGAAAUUUAAAAAACUAAGUUGGUUUGGUUUUGAUCAAUAACUAACCCAUGAACACCCCUACCUGCAGUAGGUACCCAACUUUCUCCACCGCCUCUACACUCCCUACUGAUUGUUGUUCCAGUUGUUGUUACUACUGCUGGAGUUGGUAGUAGGGUACUAGUAGUGGGUACCCAGCUGCCGCCGUCGCCCCCGCAGCAUUCACCACCGACUGCUGUUCCCGUUGCAGCUGCAGCUGAAGGAUAUCGUGAUAGGGUAGCUGCAUUAGAUACCUUGCCGCUGCCGCCCCCGCAACAUUCACCGCUGACUGCCGCUCCCCCUGUUUUUGGGGAUGGUAAUAGGGUACCUGCAUUGGGUACCCACCUUCGGCCGCUGCAUUCUCUGAUAAUUUUUUCAAUGUGUUCUCCAUUGCGCUUUUGACGAAUGGGAACAAAAAUGAGUUUAAAAAAUACAGAGAAUGAGAAAUGGUGUGUUGAGCUUCCGCUCAUACUCACUAUUUCUAACAAAUUGAAUUUAUACUUAGCGGAUAAACAGGGAGUGUGAGGUCCACCGUCAUCACUAAUGGACAAAACCUCAUUUCUCUGUAAGCGGUUGUGGAAUCUUGUGAGUAAAAAAAAUGCCUCAGCCACAUCCAUUUUUUGUGAUGAUAGAAAUCGGCAGCUUCUCAACAGCUAAAAUCAUGGAUUGAACUCAAAAGAAGGUUCAAUUCAACUGCGAUAAAGAGACGAUUCAAAUACAAUAACGUAAAUAUUGGGAACCAAAUAGUCUGUAAAGGCAAAAUAAUAGCUAAUAAGAUAAAUGUUGAACCGAAAGGCAUUAGCAUUUGAAAGCUUUGAGUAUAAAUGGUUUUAAUGAAAGUUUUAAAGUGGAGACGAUGAAAAUGAAAAUGGGUCGGAUGAAAAUGGAUGAGUUAGGUUGGUGUGCGUAUACGUAUGUAUGUUAGGUUGGGGUAGAAGAAUUAUAUUGUAAAAUUUUUUUAUUAUAAGAAGAAUAUAUUAAGAUUUAAAAAGAAAUAAUUAGUGAUGUAUUUUAUUCUUUCACUUUGAAUUUAUUUAUCAUAUUUUAAUCUGACAUAAUUAUUUAGUAAAUAAUUAUUUGUAUUGUGAAUUUGUCAUAUUAUUCCUAUUAAUUGAUAUUUAAAGGGUCUUUGAAUUAGUCUAUUUUAAAAUAUUUUGGUUUUUAAGUUUUUUUUUUUUUUUAAUGAUAUUUGGCAAAAACAGAAAGUGUUUUUACACAUUUAACAUUAAGCAAGUACAUACAAAUAAGAAAAAGCCAAAAGUGGUUGCUAUAUAGUUUUGGCUUUUAGUUUUAAGUAAAUUUAUUUGGCACGGAAAAAAAGACAUCUAUGACACUGUUUUUGUGGUAUUUUCAUAAUUAACCUGUCAACUAAGGGUGGAUUAGUAACUUCAUAAAUUUUUAUGACUCAAAGAUACCCUUUAAAUUUUAAAAUCACUUUACCGAAACAACAAACUACUCUCUCUCUCUCAUCUUCUUCUUCUUAUAAAAAAAAAUGUAUAUAUUCACGUAUACAUUAUUUAAGACUAGUUUUUUGACACGUGCUUUGCACGUAUAUGUCAAAUGCUGCAUUCUCUGAUGAUUUUUUCGAUGUGUUCUCCAUUGCGCUUUCGACGAAUGGACGACAAAAAUGAGGUUAACAAAACAGAGAGUGAGAAAUGGUGUUUUAAGCUUCCGCUAAUACUCACUAGUUCUAACAAAUUGAAUGUGUAUAUAUUAGCGGAUAAACAGGGAGGCUGAGGUCCACUAUCAUCACUAACAGACGGAACCUCAUUUGUUUGUAAGUGGUAGCCGGUGGAAUCGUUUGAGGGGAAAAUCGUCUUACACUCAUCGAUUUUUUUGUGCUAGUCGAAAAGGACAAACUUCUCAACAGCUAAAAAAACAUGAAUUGGAUUAAAAAACAGGUUCAAUUCAACCUGAUAAAAGAUAAUCGAAAUUCAAUAACGUAAAUGUUGAUAACCGAAUAGUCUAUAAAGGAAAAAUAACAACUAAUAAGAUAAAAUAUUGAACGGAAGGCAUUAGAAUUUGAAAGUUUUGAGUAUAAGAGGUUUUAAUGGAAGUUUUAAGAUGGAGAAGAUGGCAAUGAAAACAGGUCGGGAGAAAAUGGGUGAGUUGGGUUGGGUUGGGUGUGUAUACAUAUAUUUGUUGGGUUCGGUAGAAGAAUUAUAUUGGUGAAAAUUUUAAUCCAUCGAGUAUAUGUAUAAUUUAUACUCUCUCUCUCUCUCUCUCUCUCUCUCUCUCUCUCUAUAUAUAUAUAUAUAUAUAUAUAUAUAUAUAUAUAUAUUAUACUAUAUUAAAAGUGUGAAGACUUUUAUAAAAGUGAUUUGAACUUUUUACCCUUCACUAAAAGUUUCCGCAAUAGAUGAAAUUGUCUUUUCACUUAUAUCCUACAAUUAUUAUAUCAUUAUAUUUAUUAUAAAUAAAGAAAUCCUAAAUAUAUGGUAAGAAAAAAAUAUAUGGAAAUUUAUUAUUGUUGGAUUUUUUUUCUCUUUGUGUACUUGAGAAAGGAUUCCUAUAUACAAAAUAAGAGGGAAAAAAAAAGGAAAAUAAGAUGAUUUUUAUUAAUAUUAAAAUAAUAAAUUUAAUAGCAGCCUUUUUUAUAAAUUAAAACAAGAGAAAUAACUAAAGAACACGAUUUUUUUUGCUUCAAAUUUUGGUAGUAUUAGACAUCUAUUUUUUUUACAAAAUAAAAAGAAGUAUUAUUUUAAUAGUAUAUUAUUGUUCGGACGUGCAGGACAUCUGCUAUAUUAGGGAAUCUUUAUUAUUUUUAUAUUAUAUUAUUAUUAAAAAAAAUUAUGAGUGCACCCCGGAUGAAAAGCUUUCAUAUUUAGUUAAUCCUUUUUGGAUGAUGGUGGACUUCUACAAAUUGAGGACUCUUUCUUUCUAAAAUAAUAUAAAAGUAUUUACAAGGUAAAUAUUGGUGGAACAAAUAUUUUUAUAACUAGUUUUUCGAUGAGCUCUAAUGAUGUUGUCUAAUAAUCACAAAAGGUCAGACUUUGUUGUAUUGUUCUAAGAUUUUAAUUAUCAAUUGUUUUAUUGUAGUUUCUAUUCUAUUCAAGUUUAUUGUGUAGAUGGAUGUUUUGUCACAUCUUUGAAGAAUUUUUUGUGUUACGAUUACGUUUAAUCGUAUUGUUCUGAGCUCUCGAUCGUUGUAUAAUACACGUGGUAGAUGAACGUUCAGUCGGAUUUUGAGGAACUUUUUUACAAAGGUUACGGUUUAAUCGACUCAUUCAAUAUGUCAAGUAUCGUAUUAUUUUAUUGUAGUUUGCAGAUGGUAGAUUAAUGUUCAGUCGAGCUUUGAGAAAUUCUCAUGUAAAGGUUAGUUAAUCAUAUUACAGUAUAUUAUUUUUGUUAUCAUUCGUUAUCUAAUAGUUUAUGUCGUAGUAGACGAUCAAAAUACCAAUAUUUCAAGCAUGCCUCGAAGCAUAAAGUUGUCUAUCUUAAAUUUUUAAAGUCAAUAUAUAUAUAUAUAUAUAUACUAGUCAAGUAUACAUGUGUUGCACGCGUGUUUCAUGUUAAGCCCACGCGUGCAACACACGUAUACUUGACUAGUAUAUAUAAAAAAUGUCAUUCGUUAUCUAAUAGUUUAUGUCGUAGUAGACGAUCAAAAUACCAAUAUUUCAAGCAUGCCUCGAAGCAUAAAGUUGUCUAUCUUAAAUUUUUAAAGUCAAUAUAUAUAUAUAUAUAUACUAGUCAAGUAUACAUGUGUUGCACGCGUGUUUCAUGUUAAGCCCACGCGUGCAACACACGUAUACUUGACUAGUAUAUAUAAAAAAUGUGAAGGAUAUUACAACUAUUGUUUGAAUUUUUUGCCCUUCACUAAAAAUCUCUACUUUAGACAAAAUCAUAUUUAUCACUAUUUUUCUAAUACUGAAGAAUUGAAAGUUAAUCUAAUAUCUAUAGUAAAAUACUUCCUUGGAUAGCCCCGCCGCCGCUACCCCCGUAGCAUUCACCGCCGAUUGCUGCUCCUCCGGCUGUUGGAGAUGGUAAUGGAGUACCUGCAUUGGGUAUUCUCCUCCAACCGCUGCAUUCUCCGAUGACUUUUUUGAUGUGUUCUCCAUUGAGCUUUCGAUGAAUGGUGACAAAAUCGAGGUUAACAAACACAGAGAGUGAGAAAUAGGUGUGUUGAGCUUCCGCUCAUACUCACUAUUUGUAACAAACUCCAUUUGUACAUAUUAGCGAAUAAACGUGGGAGUGACAGGUCCACCAUCCUUAGUAGCGGACGGAACCUCAUUUCUUUGUAAGCGGUAGUCGGUGGAAUCAUCUGAGUAAAAAAAUGCCUCAGCCACGUCCAUUUUUUUGUGAUGGUCGAAAACGACAACUUCUCAACAGCCAAAAUCAUGAAUUGAACUCAAAAGUAGGUUCAAUUCAACUGUGAUAAAGAGAUGAUCCAACUACAAUAACAUAAAUGUUGAUAACCGAAUAGUCUGUAAAGGCAAAAUAACAGCUAAUAAUAUAAAAUGUUGAACGAAAGACAUUAGCAUUUGAAAGUUUUGAGUGUAAGUGGUUUUAAUGGAAGUUUUAAGGUGGAGACGAUUACAAUGAAAACGGGUCAGGUGAAAAUGAGUGAGUUGGGUUGGUGUGUGUAUACGUAUGUAUGUUGGGUUGGGGUAGAAGAAUUAUAUUGUAAUUUUUUUUAUUAGAAUAAAAAUAUAUUAUGAUUUAAAAAGAUAUAAUUAGUGAUGUGUUUUAUUCUUUCACUUUGAAUUUAUUUAUCAUAGUUUAAUCUGACAUAAUUAUUUAGUAAAUAAUUAUUUGUAUUAUGAAUUUGUCAUAUUAUUCCUAUUAAUUGAUGUUUAAAGGGUGUUUGAAUUAGUUUAUUUUAAAAUAUUUUGAUUUUUAAGUAUUUUUUUAUUUUUAAAGAUAUUUGUCAAAAACAAAAAGUGUUUUUACAAAUUUAACAUUAAGCAAGUACAUACAAAAAAGAAAAAGCCAAAAGUGGUUGCUAUAUAGUUUAGGCUUUUAGUUUUCAGUAAAUUUAUUUGGCAUGAAAAAAAGACAUCUAUGACACUGUUUUUGUGGUAUUUUCAUAAUUAACUUGUCAACUAAGGGUGGAUUAGUAACUUCAUAAAUUUUUAUGACUCAAAGAUACCCUUUAAAUUUUAAAAUCACUUUACCGAAACAACAAACUACUCUCUUCUCUUCCCCCCCNNNNNNNNNNNNNNCCCCCUCUUCCCCCCCCAAAAAACGUAAAUAUUAUUUAAGACUAGUUUUUUGACACGUGCUGUGCACGUAUAUGUCAAAUGCUGUAUUCUCCGAUGAUUUUUUCGAAGUGUUCUCCAUUGCGCCUUCGAUGAAUGGGCGACAAAAACGAGGUUAACAAUACAGAGAGUGAGAAAUGGUGUGUUGAGCUUCCACUCAUACUCACUAUUUCUGACAAAUUGAAUUUGUACAUAUUAGCGGAUUAAUGGGGGAGUGAGGUCCACCAUCAUCACUAACGGACGAAACCUCAUUUCUCUGUAAGCAGUAGCCAGUGGAAUCAUUUGAGGGGAAAAUCGUCUUACACUCAUCCAAUUUUUUGUGCUAGUCGAAAAGGACAAACUUCUCAGCAACUAAAAAAACAUGAAUUGGACUAAAAAACAAGUUCAAUUCAACCUGAUAAAGAGACGAUCCAAAUUCAAUAACGUAAAUGUUGAUCGCCGAAUAGUCUAUAAAGGCAAAAUAACAACGAAUAAGAUAAAAUGUUGAACGAAAGGUAUUAGCAUUUGAAAGUUUUGAGUGUAAGAGGUUUUAGUGGAAGUUUUAAGAUGGAGAAGAUGACAAUGAAAACAGGUCGGGAGAAAAUGGGUGGGUUGGGUUGGGGGUGUAUACAUAUGUGUGUUGGGUUCGGUAGAAGAAUUAUAUUGGUGAAAAUUUUAAUCCAUAGAGUACAUGUAUAAUUUAUACUCUCUCUCUCUCUCUAUGUCUCUCUCUCUCUCUCUCUCUCUAUAUAUAUAUAUAUAUAUAUAUAUAUAUAUAUAUUAUUAUUAUUAUUAAAGUGUGAAGUUCCUUAGAAAAGCGAUUUAAACUUUUUACCCUUCAUCAAAAGUCUCCGCAAUAGAUGAAAUUGUCUUUUCACUUAUACCCUACAAUUAUUAUAUCAUUAUAUUUAUAAUAAAUAAAGAAAUCCUAAAUAUAUGGUAAGAAAAAAAUAUAUGGAAAUCUAUUAUUGAUGGAUUUUUUUUCAUCUUUGUGUACUUGAGAAAGGAUUUCUAUAUACUAAAUAAGAGGGGAAAAAAGGUAAAUAAGAUGAUUUUUAUUAAUAUUAAAAUAACAAAUUUAAUAGCAGCCUUUUUUUAUAAAUUAAAACAAGAAAAGUAACUAAAGCACGCGAUUUUUUUGCUUCAAAUUUUGAUAGUAUUAGACAUCUAUUUUUUUUACAAAAUAAAAAGAAAUAUAAUUUUAAUAGUAUAUUAUUGGUCGGACGUGCAGGACACCAGCUAUAUUAGGGAAUCUUUAUUAUUUUUAUAUUAUAUUAUUAUUAGAAAUUUUUUAUGAGUGCACCCUGGAUGAAAAACUUUCCUAUUUAGUUAGUCCUUUUUGGACGAUGGUUUGGACUUAUAGUUAAUUCUUUUUAUAACUAGUUUUUUCGAUGAGUUUUAAAGAUAUUGUCUAAUAAUCACAAAAGGUCAGACUUUGUUAUAUUGUUCUAAUAUUUUAAUUAUCAAUUGUUUUGUUAUAAUUUCUAUUCUAUUCAAGUUUAUUGUGUAGAUGGAUAUUUCGUCACAUCUUUGAAGAAUUUUUUAUGUUAUGAUUAAAUUUAAUCUUUUAAAAAAGGAUAGUGGUUUAAUUUUUUGUGUCACAUCUUUUAAAAAGAAGUGCUAUGAAAAGAGAAACUAGAAGCAGUAAAAAAAGCAUCGUGGUUAAUGAAAGAAUGAAAUUGAAAAAAAAAUUAAAUGAUGACAAAUACUUGAAUAAAUACUUACUUACAGGUGCAAUCUCAAAGUCACACUGUAAGGAAUUAAUCAACUUUUUAAUUGAUUGACAUUAAUAAAUUUUAAAUUCUUGGCAAUGAAAAAAUCAAAAUUAAAAUUGCAAGUUCUUGCUUCCAUGGUAGAGGAAGAGGAGAAGGAAAAAAAUUAAAAUUAAAAUAAUAUGUGACUUGGUUUUGACGCGACAAUGAUGUGGCACUGACAGGGCACGUGUGUAAUACAUUUUUCAUAGUAAAUGGUAUUAUAUUUUAUGGGUGGUGUUUUAAUAUACCUUAAAAUUGUUUAGAGGGAUAUUUACAUGCAGGUUAAGUUAAAGUGCUAAAAUAAUUUUCGGUGACAAGUUCAGGGUAAGGGGUUGGGGAGGGGUAGGGGAGGGGGCGGGCGGUCACGCAUUUUCAUAGAGAAAUAUGUGUCAUAUAUCAAAAAGGUAUGUCAAGAAAUAAAUAUAAUUUUUUUAAAAAAAGAUACAUGGAUAAAUAGAAUUUUUUUUCUUUUUUUAAUUUCUCAUUCAGAUCUGAUGUCCGCAUUUGAGUACAAUUAAAUUUGAAUAUGCGUUGAAAAGUUCUACAUUAAGAGAUAAAACGCUCCAUAACAAAAAUCACUUCGUACACAAAGAAUGAAUUGUUUACUAUUUUUUAAAUAGAAGUGAUCAACAAAAUAGCUUCUCUAAAAAUGACUAUUUUUCAUUGUUUUUGGCCAAAAUUACUUGCAUCGACAUUCAUAUUUACUAAAUUAAAAUUAAUAAUGUCCUCUUUUUGUGGUUUGACAUAAAAUCACUUUUAAAAAAUAUUAGCCAAGAACAAAUUACUGACAUAAAUUAAUUCAAACAAUUUAGUGAAGCAUCAAUCACUAAUUCCUUUCUUAAAAAAUUUUCAUAAGUUAAUUUAAUUGUAUGGCAAAAGAAAUAAUUUAAUCAAAGCAUCAACCACUUACUUUCUUAAAAUAUUUUUUAUAAGUUAAUAUAAUUAUCUGGCAAAAUAAGUUACUAAGAUGUAUCGAACAUAUGAAACUUCUCCUGAUUUUUGUUUUCAAAUCUGUCCUUAGGAAUGACAGGAUCAAGUUGAAAAAAAAUUUCAAAAUUUUGAAUCUUUCUUAAAUAACUUGACUUUCUAUAUAAUCAUCAAUUGAUGUGGUGUAGUGGAUAGAGUUGCUCCUCCCUUAUUUAGAGGUCUUAAUUGUAAAUUCUAUAAAUAAACAAGGUCUUUGGUAGAAAGUGUUUUCCUCGAAUGACCUUUGUGUGGUGCAAAUCGAAUUAAUCUGACUCCAAUGCGAAUAUUAAACAUUAGAUAAAAAAUCAAAAAGAAAAUCGUCUCCUAUAUUUAUUACAACCAUACCAAUUAACAUGUUACUUGAAGAGAAUAAUAUUUUUUAGUUUGUUUAGAAAACAUACAAUUUCAUAUAAAAACAGACAAAAGAUUAUUACUAAAGAAAUAGGGGAUUGAGGUCCACUUCAAUAACAGACAAAAGGUUAUUGUUUGUAUUGAAGAGGUACGUAGACUCAUCUGAGAAAAAAAGAAUUUCAUCUUCAUCCAAAUUAACUUUAAAUUUUUGCACAACAAUCAUGUUUUUCUUAGCAUUUCAAUAAAAAAUUAAUGAAUCAGACUAAAAUAUCGGUUCAAUUCAACUGUAAUCGACAAAUGCAAGUAACCAAAAAAUCUAUAAAGACUAAACAUAGCUAAAAAAGUUAAAACAAGAAUUAUAACGCAUUCGCAUUCAAAAUGUUUGAAUGAGAGAGGUUUUAAGAAAACCUUUUGCAAAAAGAUGAUUGUGCAAGUGAAAUCGGGUUAGAGAAAAUGAGUGAGUUGGUUGGAUAAAAAUGAGUGAGUUGUGUUUGGGUUGUGUAAAAUUAUAUUGGAGAAAAUUUUCAUUUUAAUUAGGAAAAAAUCUAUUCAUGUAUAUGUUAUUUAAGAGUAAUUUUUGACACGUGCUUUGCACGUGUAUGUCAAAUCAUUUAAUAUUUAAUUUUAUAAAUAAUUUUAGUUCAUUUCUUGUUUCCACUGAAGGAGAUGGUAUUGGGUACCCGAAUUGGAACCUUGCCGCUGCCACAACUGCAUUUUCUGCCAAUUGAUGUUCCUGCCGCUGUUGUUGUUGGAGAUGAUAGUAGGGUACCUACAUUGGGUACCCACCUUCUGCUGCUGCGUUCUCCGUUGAUUGUUGCGAUUUAUUCUCCAUUAUUCUUUAGAUGAAUGACCAUAAUUUUUAUGUUAUAAUCGAAUAGACAGUAAAAACCAAAUAACAACUAAUAAAUAAAAUGUUGAACCGAAAGAAAUUAGGCUAACAUUCUUGUUUUUGUUAGCAUUUCAAUAAAAAAAAUAAUGAAUCAGACAAGAAUAUAGGUUUAAUUCAACUGUAAUCGACAAAUAAAAGUAACUAACCAGUCUCUAUAGACUAUAACAAAGUUAAAAAAAGUUAAACCUUAAAUUAUAAUGCGUUAGUAUUCAGAAAGUCUGAACGCAAGAUGUUCUGUAAAAACCUUUGAAAAAAAAAUGAUUGUGAAAGUGAAAUCUGGUUAUAGUAAAAAUGAGUGAGUUGAGUUAGAUAUGUGUGUGUGUUGGGUUGUGUAGAAUUAUAUUGAAGAAAAUUUUAAUUAGAAAAAAUAUAUUCAUGUAUAUGUUAUUUAAAAUUAGUUUUUUGACACUUGCUUUGCACGUAUAUGGCAAAUCAUGUAAUAUAGAAUUUUAUAAAUAAUUAUAGUUCAUUUGUUGUUGCAGCUGAAGGAGAUGGUAAUAGGGUACCCACAUUGUUACCCUAUAGCUGCCGCAGCUGUAUUCCUCGCCAAUUGAUGUUUCUGUUGCUGCUGCUGUUGGAGAUGAUAGUAGGGUACCUUCAUUGGGUAUCCGCGUCCUAUUGUUGCAUUCUCCGCUGAUUGUUGCGAUUUAUUCUCCAUUAUGUUUUUAAAUGAAGGGCAAUAAUUUCUAUGCUAACAAAUAAACACGGAGAGACAAAUGAAAGAAGAGUAAUUUACUUGUGUUGUGCGAGUAAUUUACUUGUGUUGUGCUCUCUUACUUGUGUGCACCCACUAUUUUUACCAAUUAAAGAUGUACUUUAACCAGAUAAACAAGGGGAGUGAGGACCACCACAUUAGUAACAAACGAAACCUUAUUUGUUUGAUCGAGUUGAUAGCUGGUGGAAUCAUCUGAGGAAAAAAAGCCUCACCGUCAUCCAAUUUUUUGUGUUGCUCGAAAAGAACAACAUCUCACAACCAAAAAAAAUUAUGAUUUAAACUCGAAAGAGGUUCAAUUAAACUGUGAUAAAGAGACAAUUCAAAUUCUAUAAAGUUAAAAUACAAAUAAUUGAAUAGGUUGUAAAGAAAACAUAACAACUAUUAAACAAAGCGUUGAACCGAAGGAAAUUAGCACAACAAUCAUGUUUCUAUUAGCAUUUCAAUAAAAAUUUAAUGAAUCAGACAUGAAUAUGGAUUCAAUUCAACUGUAAUCAACACAUACAAGUAACCAAACAAUCUCCAAAGACUAAUACAUAGCUUACAAAGUUAAACUUUGAAUUAUAACGCAUUAGCAUUUAGAAAGUUUGAAAGCAAGAGGUUUUAAUAAAACCUUCGAAAAAAAAUGAUUGUCAAAGUGAAAUCGAAUCAAAGUAAAAAUGAGUGAGUUGGGUUGAAUAUAUGUGUGUGUGUUGGGUUGUGUAGAAUUAUAUUGGAGAAAUAAUUAAUUUUAAUAAGAUAAAAAUAUUCAGUAACAGACGAGACUUCAUUUCUGUGAUCGAGGUGGUAGCUGGUGGAAUUAUCUGAGGAAAAAAUGCCUCACCCUCAUUCAAUUUUUUGUGUUGCUCGAAAAGAACAACUUGUCAACAACCAAAAAUAUUAUGAAUUGAACUCAUAAAGAAGUUCACGUAUAUGUUAUUUAAGACCAGUUUUUUGACGCGUGCUUUACACGUGCAUGUCACAUCAUGUAAUAUAUACUUUUAUAAAUAAUUUUACCUCAUUUGUUUUAACUGCUGAAGGAGAUGGUAAUAGGGUACCCACAUUGGUACACUCGCCGCUGCAGCCGUUGUAUUCUCUAUCAAUUGAUAUUCUCUUAUUUGCUACUGUUGGAAAUGGUAGUACAGUACCUGCAUUGGGUAUCUCGCCGCCACCGUCUUUGCUGCAUUCAAAACAUUCUCUACCGAUCAUUUCGAUUUAUUAUCCAUUGUACUUGGGGGAUAAUUUCUAUGUUUGCAACUACAGAGUGAGAAAAUGGAAGAAGAGUAGCCUAGUUGUGUUGUACGCUCUUACUAUUUGUACAAACUAAAUUUGUACUUAUUAUCAUAUAAACAGAGGGAGUAAGGCCACCACAUCAGUAACGGACGAAACCUCAUUUCUAGUCCGUAACCUCAUUUCUCUAUAAGUGGUAGCCGGUGAUUAACUCUUUUUUUGUUGAUAAAUUACUUUUUUUCUUUUCCUUUAUUGGGUUAAUUUUUAUUUACUAUUUUCUUUAUUAUUAUUAUUACUAUUUUUCUUUUCUUCAAUUAUUUUUUUCUCGUGUUACAUACUACAUAACUUGAAUUUUUUUUUUUUGUUUUGUUUUUAUUUCCUCCUAAUUUUUAUUUGUAAGUGAAUUAAAAAAAUUCUGUCACUCAACCAUGUUAGUAAUUUAUAUUUUUUAAUUAUAUUCUCUUUUCUGUUAGAGUAAGAAAAAUUAGAUAUUGAAAAUUUGAAAUUGAAUCUCAUAAAUAAUAAAUUUGUCUUUUGUGAGUCUAUAUGAUAUUGUUUAUUAUGAUUUAAUAUUAGCAUUAAAGAGAUUUCUAAUACUUAGAAAUUAAAGAAUCAUCAUAUUCUUUUUAUUAUUAAUGGCAUCUCUUAUAUUACAAAAUUUAAAGCUAGUAGAGUCAAGAAAUGAAUCAAAUUUAAAUGGAUUGGAUUCUAAAUAAAUCUUAAUAUUGAUUUUAAUUUUUUUGAUAUCCUUUUCCUUAAAUUUUAGAGUUGCUCCAUCAUUAAAUAGACACCAAAAUAAAAACUAAAAUAUCUUUUAAUUGAUCAUAAACUAAAAAUAUGUAAAAUAUAUUAAAAUAUUCUUUACUUUUUGUAAUUUUAAACAUGUCAUGUGAUAAGUUAAAAUUAAAAUUUUUCAGAAAAUGAAAAUACAUUUUUUCAAAUGGACUUGUAAAAAAGUGACACAAAUAAAAUAAAACAAAAAAUGUACUAUAUAAAUUUUAUUUGGUUACAAAUAUCUACAAAUAAGAACUUAGGAGGAAAAAAGCCCAUCAAUUUGAUCAGUUUCAUGAUCACGAAAAAGAUUGAAAAGAAAAAGUAAAAAAAAAGUAUUCACAUAUAUGUUAUUUAAGACUAUUUUUUUGACACGUGCAAAGCACGUGUAUGCCAAAUCAUUUAAUAUAUAAUUUUAUAAUUAACUUUAGUUCAUUUAUUGUUGGCACUGAAGAAGAUGGUAAUAGGGUACCCACAUUGGUACCCCUAUCCCUGCCACAACUGCAUUCUCCACCAAUUGAUGUUCCCAAUGGUUGUUGGAAAUGGUAGUAAGGCACCUACAUUGGGUACCCACCUCCCCCUAUUGCAUUCUUAGUCGAUUAUUGUGAUUUAUUCUCCAUUAUACUUUAGACGAAGGACGAUAAUUUCUAUGUUAACAAACACAAACAGAGAGAAAUGGUCGAAGAGUAAUCUACUUGUGUUGUGCUUUUUUACUUGUGCAAUUUUUGUGCGCACUCACUAUUUUUAUUAACUAAAUUUAUUCUUAUUACUGGAUAAACGCGGGAGGGGGGGGGAGGUGAGGUCCACCACAUUAGGAAUUAGUAACAGACAAAACUUCAUUUCUAUUUCUUUGAUCGAGGCGAUAGCUGGUGGAAUCAUCUGAGAAAAAAGCGCCUCACCCUCAUUCAAUUUUUUGUAUUGCUCGUAAAGAACAACACUUCUCAACAGCCAAAAAAAAAUCAUGAAUUGAACUCAAAAGAGGUUCAAUUCAAUUGUGAUAAGAGAUGAUCCAAAUUCUAUAAAGUUAAAUACAGAUAAUCGAAUAAACUGCAAAGGCUAAAUAACAACUAAUAAAUUAAAUGUUGAACAGAAAGGAAUUAGCACAUCAAUCAUGUUUUUGUUAGCAUUUUAAUAAAAAUUAAUGAAUUGAACAAUAAUAUAGGUUCAAUUCAACUGUAAUCGACAAAUGAAAGUAACCAAACAAUCUCUAAUGACUAAAACAUAGCUAAAAAGUUAAAACCUUGAAUUAUAACACAUUCAGAAAGUUUGGAUGGAGGAGGCUUGAUGAAAACCUUUGAAAAAAAAUGAUUGUGAAAGUAAAACCCUGUUAGAGUAAAAAUGGAUGAGUUGAGUUGAAUAUAUAUAUAUAUAUAUAUAUAUAUAUAUAUAUAUAUAUUGUGUUGUGUAGAACUAUAUUGGAGAAAAAAUUUAUUUUAAUUAGAAAAAAUAUAUUCACGUAUAUGUUAUUUAAAACUAGUUUUUUGGCACGAGCUACGCACGUGUAUGACAAAUCAUGUAAUAUAUAAUUUUAUAAAUAAUUUUAGUUCAUUUGUUGUUGCCGCUGAAGAUGGUAAUAGGGUACUCACAUUCAUACCAUGACACAACUACAUUCUCCGCAAUUGAUGUUCCUGUUGCUGCUGGAGAUGGUAGUAGGGUACCUGCAUUGAGUACCCAUUUCUCGUUGUUGCAUUCUCCGUCGAUUGUUGCGAUUAAAUUACAAUUUUCCCUUUUUAGUAUGAAUUAUGAUUAAAAGUACAUCUUAAAAUGCUGGUCAAAGCUUGUAUUAUUUGACUUUAAAAAGAAAAAUUAUUCCAACUAAAAAAGAACGAAGAAAAUAUUUGUUUGAAAAACACGCAAUUCCAUAUAAAAUAAAAACACUAGUUGCAUUCAAAGAUAAUACCAAAAUAGGUCAUGUUUUUAAAGUGAUACCAGAAUAUGCUUAACUCUCUUAAAAAGAGAAUUAUAUGUAUUAUUUUUAACGGAAAUGAGCAAAUGGAGUUAAGUUUCAGAAAAUAUACAUAACUCACUUAAUAAGUGAGUUAUGCAUUUUUUUUAACAUCUCUUUUUUUUUUACAUAACUCUCUACUAAAGAGAGAGUAAUGCGUUUUAAGUCACACAACUCGUUUAAAAAGAGAGUUAUGCAUUAUUUUCUAUACAUUUUUUUCUACAUGACUUACUUAAAAAGUGAGUUAUAUAAUAAAAGUUACACAAUUUGCUUUUUUCCUCUACGUAAAUAUAAUAAAAUUUAUAUCACUCACUUUAUACAAAAUUAUGUGAACAAUUAAUUUAUCUUCUAAAGUUUUAUUUUUUAAAAAGAAGAUUAACUAUUACGAAACGGAGAGAGCAAAACUCACUGAUUAUGUGAGUUAUUCAAAUAUAAAAUAAGUUAAAAAAAUGAGUUAUCCAUUGAAUAUAGCUUUUAAAAUACGCGUGAUAAGUGCAUAACUUUAUUAGUGAUAUGAAAUAUGAAUAUGGUGCGAAAAAUAUAUGAGUUGUGCAAAAAGUUGAUAUGUUCAUAAAAAACGUUUGUCAGUCAUAAAAGUACUACUAGAAAAAAUGUAAAAUUCACAAAAAAUGAGUUAUCCUUCUUAUUUCUAUAAAACACUGUUUUUAAUUAUUUUAAACUUCGCGCAAAACGUAAGAAUUUGUUACGUUUUAUAUAUUUUUUUGAUAAAACGUAAGAAAUUAUUACGUUUUACAAAUAAAUAUNNNNNNNNNNNNNNNNNNNNNNNNNNNNNNNNNNNNNNNNNNNNNNNNNNNNNNNNNNNNNNNNNNNNNNNNNNNNNNNNNNNNNNNNNNNNNNNNNNNNNNNNNNNNNNNNNNNNNNNNNNNNNNNNNNNNNNNNNNNNNNNNNNNNNNNNNNNNNNNNNNNNNNNNNNNNNNNNNNNNNNNNNNNNNNNNNNNNNNNNNNNNNNNNNNNNNNNNNNNNNNNNNNNNNNNNNNNNNNNNNNNNNNNNNNNNNNNNNNNNNNNNNNNNNNNNNNNNNNNNNNNNNNNNNNNNNNNNNNNNNNNNNNNNNNNNNNNNNNNNNNNNNNNNNNNNNNNNNNNNNNNNNNNNNNNNNNNNNNNNNNNNNNNNNNNNNNNNNNNNNNNNNNNNNNNNNNNNNNNNNNNNNNNNNNNNNNNNNNNNNNNNNNNNNNNNNNNNNNNNNNNNNNNNNNNNNNNNNNNNNNNNNNNNNNNNNNNNNNNNNNNNNNNNNNNNNNNNNNNNNNNNNNNNNNNNNNNNNNNNNNNNNNNNNNNNNNNNNNNNNNNNNNNNNNNNNNNNNNNNNNNNNNNNNNNNNUUUUAGUACCCAAUUAGAAUACCUUCAAACAACAACAAUCUUAGCGAAGCUCCAAUAAUAUUGAACCGCUGGACUCACUGAAAGGUUCCAUUAUAGCAAGAAAUUUGCACCUACAGAAAAGAGCAACUGCAUUCAAAAUCAGAGACGCAUACCCUUGCAUCCAUAACAGAACAGAUCAUACCUGGGUAGAAUCCCCAUAGGAGAGAGUACCUGGCUAAGAACCACCGUAGGAGAGCAAUAGUAAGAUUGGUAGAUGAAGUAGCAUGUCCAAACCACUGCUCCAGUGCAUUGCUCGAAUUUCCAGAACGCAUCACUUUCCCAAAUCAUAACAAGAGAAAAUAUUAACUAAAUGUACCUGACAGAAAAAGAAACUCAAAUGCAAUCAAGCCGUGUCAAAAUUCAUUAGCUUCACCAAUCACGUCUGUAGCUACCAAGCAAAACAGAAAUAAUCACAAAUCAUUUUCCAUGACAGACCCCAAAAAGAACUCCAAAUGUGAUCGAGCGGGCUAAAUUCCAUACCUUCACCAACCAUAUCUACAAUUAUUAAGUAGAAGAGAAAUAAUCACAGCAUUUUAUGAACUUUUCAACACCUGAACUCAUGCUUGAGUACCCAAAAGAUUCCACUAAACCAAUUGAUCCAAUUGCAAAAGGGGAACUUAUAUCCCACAAUGAAGAGGAAAUAUCACAUCACGAACCCCAAGAAGGAAGACAUAAUAAACAAGAUGCUGAAGGAAAAUAAAAAUGUUGAGCUAAAAACCACAACCAGGUCAAUGAAAGACGACAAGAAUUUUCCCUGUUAGUACUCCCCGUUGCCAUCUUUAAAUUGACAUCCUAAGUCAGACCAACAGACGAAACUUCUAAAUUGUUCCUUUUAAAAAUCAACAUAUAACUUUUCUGAGAGCUUAUAACUAGAGGUGCAUUAUCCACACCCAAUAAUAACAUCAAUUAACUUUUCAUGUGUUCUACUCCUGAAUCGUAAUUUAAAUCAAUCUGAGAGUGAUAGAUAAAGGAUCACAGGAAAAAGUAACAGUACCACAAUCUCACGGAUUAAAGCAGCUCUUAGACAUUAGCAAUCCCCAGUAGUCCCCAACAACUUUAUACCUGGAAUCAAAGUAACAGCACUGAACAAAUGUGUUAUUUUGAGCACCUCGACAAAAUAACAGCAGCUCAUACUUUUGUGGGAACAAAAGAAAAAAGGAAACCAUCUUAACAUAUAGAUUCCGGCAACUGCAAGCAGAGAAAGCAAGGAUUAGUAAUGCGUGCAAAGAUCAGAGGAAUUCUAUCUAACCACAAAUAAAUUGAUCAGAUUCAGACAUGAAGAGCAAGACAGAGAGGAGUUGGGGGGCGGAGGGAGGAAUAACUAUCCCAUUCUAGAAGCUGACUUCUGGAGCACCAAAAUAUAUCUCUUGCAAGAAGUAUGAUUCAAUACCUGACAUUUUUUGCUUUGAAUUUUACAAGAAGUUAUGCUAACUAGUUGACCAAGUAGAAUAUUCAAAGCUGUCUCACUGGAGUGUGCAGCUUGCCUAGAUGUAAUAGCAUAGGGCUGCAUACUAUUUGCACCUAUCUUCUUAAAAACAUGAUCCUGAUAAAUGCUUACUCUAACUCCAAGGCCAGAAUAACCAGUUUGUACUGAAUUUGAAGCUGUAGGAAGCUUCACACUUGAAGCAGAAGAUAUUAGCGGUAGGAUAGUUUAUACCCGCUGCUUCUGGUGGAAGACGAUGGAAAAGAUGAAGCUUGACUUUCUAAGGGCGCAUAUUCACAUAAAUUCUAUGGAGAAGAACGGUCUUUUGACUAUUCAAACCCUAGAAAACAAACAUUACAAAAACAAAAAACUUGAAAAAUGAAAAUAAUCCCAUAAAAGAAAAAAGUGUACUAGUAUACAAAGUAACGACGACUUGAAAAAAGAAAGGCAAGCCAGAUUAAGUGUGAAACUAUAAGUUUUAUUGCAUUUUUCACGGAUAAUAUGAAUUAAUGCACUUUCCGGUUUCCGUGAACACCAGAAAAGUACAAAAGAAGGAACCCAUGAAAGAUUCUGAACUUCACGGAAACUAAACCUAACUAGAAAUAAGAAAAAGGUAUGGCUAUAACAGAGGGGAACUUACAACAAUGUCUAUCAUUAUAUUGUUCGAUCCAUUGAAUUAACUGUAUUAAAACUUCUAAAUCUAACCAUGGUACUAUUCCUUCUAAAUGAAAUAAUUGCAAAUCACCUUCCAAAUCUAACCAUGUUUGUCCAAUUUCUAUCCUUCCCAAAAAAAGAAGCUCCAUUUUCUUAUUUCCAAGAAAAACAGAUGAGUUUCAUCAAUAAGCCAAAUUUAAAGGACUAAGGACAAACGGAAGAAAGAAUGGACAUGCUUUCUUAGCUUGUCUAUGAAUAGCAUAAGCUUCUUAUUCAGAAACAUAAGAAACUUCUCAACAAUCUUCCUGUUGGAUGGAAAAGAAAAAUUGAACGUCGUGCAACAUGUGGAAUAUUUAGGAAGCCAAAAACAAAACCAAAUUGAUGGAGAAGUUGAAAUUAACAUUUUCGGUACAACAGGACAUAGUAAUGACAAGAUCAGGACACUUGCUCCAGACACAAAAUAAAUGCAUCCUCAUUUCUGAACCUUUUCUCCAAUCACGUGCCGAAAUCUAUAGGAAACUGGUCAGGCAAUAAUGGGCAAGCGACAAGCUGAAAUACCAAUCUUUUGAAACCUAAAUUACAGUGGCACGAAAAGCAAUUCUCACCAUCAUUCAAGUUUUCUGAGCACAUAUAUAGUAACUGAAUCCCCACUUUGUGGGAAUACACUGGGUUUGUUGUUGUUGUAUAUAUACUAACUGAAUAUGUUAUGAAACCUCAGAUGCAUCUCUUCAUUGUCAUUUCAUGCUUGAAGUACCAUUUGUACAAAUAAGUUAAUUUAUACAUAUUACUCAUGUGAUCUAUUUUUCAGACCCUAAAAAAAAACUCAAGCCAAACUUUUUACGGUUGGCUAUAUGAUUCUUUUUAUCAAUUAUUUUCUAUGAAACUAAAGUAAAAUUCGACAGCUUCAAGAGACAUCUUAAAUCUUCAUUCUUAAACAAUUCUAAUCUAAUAAGUAAAAGGUGCUAAUUUAAGAUUCAGAAAAUUUACUUCCUUUAACAGAAGUUACAUAAAUUGAGAUAGACACAUCAAAAAGGCAUUUUUUUCUUCUUUGUAAAAAUAUUCACCACAGAAUCUAGAACGGUUACUCACAAUCAAAGCUUCAAAAACCAAAAGUAUUAAUCACUCAAAUAGACUUUAAAGAUGUAUUAUUAAAAGCAUCUAUAUGAACAUUUUAAAGCCUCGAUUAAACAUAGCAGGACAUGAAUUCAGCAAGACAACUAAAUUCCUCUUAACUCCAAAGUCAUCUAGCAACACAAAUUAAAAUUAAAAAGGAAAGGGUUAUAUAUACAUGAUCACAAACACACACACACGCAAAUAUAUAACAUGUAUAUAUAAACCAAUGCAGAAAUCAACUUCUUCAACAGAACAAAUGCAGAAAACAGUUACAGCAAUCCAACUGAAGCCAUGCAUGAAACAAAGCAGAAGCAUUUGAUUAAAAAUAGUUUACCUGCAAAAGGAAGCAGUAAUAAAGCGCAUGGAGAGAGUCACUGCUGAAUUUCCAACCAAAAGAAUUUCCUAUACGACAUACUUUAAGCCGAUAGGAUUAGUAACAAAUUUAAUCCCACUAUACCUACCGAUCGCAUUAGCAUGACCAAAUUACUUGUUGAACAAGCAUGUGAACUACAUAAAAAUCUGUGCGAGUUGGAACACUUUCCGUACUUCACACCACCGAUAAAGACAUCAGAUAUCACUUAUCAGUUGUUUCUCACGAUAAUAGAUAAUGACUACGGAUGACAUAUCCCAAGCCUGCAUGGAUAAUCAUUGCAUUGGUAAGAAUUGAAACUUAUGCUUUCGCUCCAUCUUGGCAUCAACACCCAAUAAAGGUUACCACUAUGAAAGCUUGUAUCUCCGAAAGAGAAUCAAUCAUCACCUUCUUUGCAGUACAGAGUAUCAAACAGUCGUGUGAAAGCAGAUCGAUCUAUUUUCUAAAUUUGGAUGCCCACAAAAUCCAGAUAUGCCAAAUCAUUUCCUCCAAUGAUGCAACAUAUAGAAGUAAUUGAUAAAAGUCUAGACUCAGGCCUGUACAUUCAAUCCUAUCUCCAUACAUCAAUGUGAGAUUGCACAAAAGAUUUGUGUUUUUAUAAGUGAAGCACAGAAUUGUACAAGUACUUCACUCGAUUUAGUUAGGAUUGCCCUAAAUGCAAGUCCUGCUUAGAUAACAUUCCGUUUGAGCGGAGGACCUAUCAGAAACCGGCCCUCUACCCUUUCCUGCCUUCCCCAGUAUGUUGUUGUUGCCUAAAUGCAAGAAGAUAAACAUAUAAAAAGCGAAAACAUUUGUAGCUACCACCUGAUAAAAUGAAACUAAAACAAAGAACAAACAUUGUAAUUUUAACAACAAACCUAGUCUCAACUUCUGAGGAAAAAGAAGACAGUUACCACCUUUAACGAAAAUGGAACAAAGCAAUUCGAUUUGACAAAUUUUAUGACAAGGUUACCUUUGACCAUCGACGUUAUGCUGUGCACUGCUCCCUCCGCUGGCAUUGAUAUUAUCCUCAGCAUCCUGCCACCGUCCACUGUUCCCUCCGCUAGCAUUGAUAUUAUCCUCAGCAGCUUGCCACCGUCCACUGCUCCCUCUGCUAGCAUUGAUAUGCCACUGUCCACUCCUCCCUCUGCUAGCACUGGUAUUAUCCUUAGCAGCCUGCCACGCCUGACGCUGGAUGUAGACAAAUGGAAAAACCCUAGGCAUAAUGGUCCUUCGAAUCAUCACUUCAGAUGGAGCAGUCUGCCCCAUGGGUGGAUAGAAGUUUUGAACACCACUUGUUUCAAUCCUUCUAAUCAUCGCCUCAGAUGGAGCAACAGUCUGUCCUAUGGGCGGAUAGAAGUUCUGAACACCACUUAAUGUGGAGCCAAGCAUGCUGGGCCCAAAACCAGUACCCUCUUCCCUGAUCUCAUCCUUAAGAACAAUGUCAACUAGGAAAUCAAAAAUUUCAAUCAGCUCAAUAGCCUUGGUGAUAUCCUUCUACUGCAACAUCCGUCUUUUGUUCUCCUCCGUGCUAAACCAGGAGCGGAAAGUAAGUUCCUGCAUGAACAUUUCACAUUCUUUAGCAAACAACAUUGGUUCUUCCGCGGUGACCUUGGAUACACCCUCGUUAUAUAUCAUCAUCUGUUGAUACGAGCAAGCGGAAAUUUGUUGUUCUUGAAAUCGUUCAUCUCCUUGAUUUCCUUGAGUUGUAACGCCCAAAACGCCUCCAUCUGCUGCUGCUGAAGGAGUUGGUAGUAGGGUACCGGCAGUCGGUACGCAGCUGCCGCCGCCGCUGCUACAUUCUCCGUCAAUACUGUUCCUGCUGCUGAAGUAGAUAGUAGUAGGGUACCUGCAUUGGGUACCCAGCUGCCGCCGCUGCAUUCUCCUCACAUUGUUGAGAUUUGUUCUCCACUAUACUUUAGACGAAGGAAGAUAAUUUAUAUGGAGAAAAUGGCCGAAAAAGCAGGUCGGAAUGAAAAUAGGUGAUUUGAGAUAGAUAACAUGUUGAGUUGCGUAGAAGACUCAUAUUGGAGAAAAUUUUGAUUUUAAUUAGAAUAAAAUAUAUUUGUGUAUGUUAUUUAUGAUUAAAGUUUUUCGGCACGUCCAUUGCACGUGUAUGCCAGUCAUGUAAUAUUUAAUUUUAACAAUUGGAUUUACAAGUCAAACUGGUAUUAAUUUGUACCUGUUUUAUCUUACAUUUUGUUUUACAAAACUAAAAUGUAGAGGUUAUUUUUGUAAAUAAAUAUUUAUAAAAACUAUACAAGAAAUAUCAUUUCUAAUACAUCAAACCAAACAACGUAGAGGGUAUUUUUAUAAACAAAUAUUUAUAAAAACUCUACAAGAAAUAUCAUUUCUAAUACAACAAAGAAAUAUCAGUUGUUGCUGUUGAAGGAGCUGGUAAUAGAGUACCUUCAUCGAGUAUCCAACUGGCGUCGCUGCAUUCUCCGCCGAUUGUUGUUCCUGUUGCUGCUGUUGAAGAUGGUAGCAGGGUACUUGCAUUGGGCACCUAGCUGCCGCCACUGCAUUCUCCCCCAUUGUUGCGAUUUGUUCUCCAUUGUGCUUUAGACGAAGGACGAUAAUUUCUAUGUAGAAGGUGGUCGAAAAGCAGGUCAAGGUGAAAAUAGGUGAUUUGGGCUAGAUAACAUGUUGAGUUGUGUUAAUCAUAUUGGAGAAAAUUUUGAUUUUAAUACGAAUAAAAUAUAUUCAUGUAAAUGUUAUUUAAGAGUAUAACUUUUUGGCACGUGCAUUGCACGUGUAUGCCAAUCAUGUAAUGUUUAUUUUUAAUAAUUGUGUUUACAAGUUAGAUUGGUAUUAUUUCGUACCUGUUUUAUCUUACAUUUUGUUUUACAAAACAAGAGUAUAGAAGGUACUUUUGCAGAGAAAUACUAUACAAACUAUACAAGACAUAUUAUUUCUAAUACAUCAAACCAAACAACGUAUAGGAAAUAAUGCCAAUAUAACUCAUACCAACUUUAUUAAUGCAGUCAUUACUAAUACACCAUAUUGAACAUUAUUCUUAUUCACUCUACCAAACGAUUCCAUAGUUAAAUAGUCACUAUCCUUAACCGCCUUGAGCUGGAAGGCCCAAAACGCCUCCAACUAUCGUUGUUCUUCCUGUUCCUUUUGUCGCUGUUGAAGGAGUUGGUAGUAAGGUGCCUAUAUCGGGUAUCCGAUCUCCAUUGCAUUCUCCGCCAAUUGUUGUUCCUAUUGCUGCGGUUGAAGGUAGUAGUAGGGUACCUGUAUUAGGUACUCAACUGUCGCCGCUGCAUUCUCCGCCCAUUUUUGCGAUUUGUUCUCCAUUAUGCUUUAGGUGAAGGACGAUAAUUUCUAAGGAGAAGAUGGCCGAAAAGCGGGUCGGAAUGAAAAUAGGUGAUUGGAGAAAAUUUUGAUUUUAAUUAAAAUAAAAUAUAGUCAUGUAUAUGUUAUUUAAAAGUAUAGUUUUUCGGUACGUGCAUCGCACG
rnacentral:lncRNA from 1 species